UAGAAGUUUUCUGUUGUCUCUCCAUGAAUAAUGAAAUAGGUGCCACUAGAUGUUAAGCAAGAAAACGCGAUUCAAAUCAAAAUAUAGUUCUGGGCCUGUACCCAUAUUUAAGGUACAUAUAAAUUAAGAUUUGUUAUGAAAGGACAAUUUUUCUACAUGUCCUAUGAUAAAUUAUAGUAUAAUGAUUGGAUAUCUUAACUUCAGUGGUUUUAUGCAUACAGUUCUAGUUCUCCAUGGUUGGUAUGAUGUUUUGUCAUAGAAAAAAAUCAGUGGACUUGUAAACAAUUCUCAAAGAUAUAUGGUUUGGUGCAACGUACCCAGAGCAAACUCAUUAGAAGUUGUCAGAUCUUUAGAAUAAACAGAAUGAGUACUUAAAAUAAAGUACAUCAGGAAUUGAUUUUCUGUUGACAGAGCGAUCUGCUUUUAGAAAUUCAUAUAAACUGUGUUCAAAAAAGACAAAUUCAUUAACACAUCAAGAUUUAUAGAGAAUUUUAUGGCUAUGUUGAAUCAAAGGAUAUAUAUGCAAGAGAAAUGUAUGAUGCAAAAUUAAUUACUAUUUAAAAAAAAAGAUAAAAACUAUGAAAGUAAUGUUGAUUUGCUAAAAUAACGGAUGAGAAGACUUUAACUUGUGUGACAAGGAGUGACAAUUUAUUUUAUAGAUUUACAGCAUAUGAUUGAAAAAUAAAUGAUAUAAAAAUCUAAAAUUGUCAUGUUAGUACUUUUAUCAACACAUGUUACAUGCAGAUGUACUGUAAAAGAUGCAUUAAAUUUUUAAUAUUUAUGUGAUAUUCCAGCAAAGGCUAAUUUAGAUUUUAUUUCUUCUUGCACAGAUGUUCUUGUCUUCCAAAUAAAAGAUAAAUUGAAAAUAUGUUUUUGUUGUCAAUUGAAGUGUUAUGCAAUUCUCUUAAGUUUUAUGUAUUGUUUUUGUCUUUAGAUAUUUCAUUGAGGGUAGGAAUAUGCCUUUUACCGUUAGGCAUCAAAUAAUCUUCUUUGACUACCGUAAGAAUGAAAUUGGUUAAAUUUUUAUUCCUGAUUUGUCAUAGGUCUCAAGAUAAUUAUCUGUUAAAAUUAAUUUCAGAAAGAGUUAUCAUCAUUUGUCAAAAUCAGUCCAUUUUUUAAUCAUCAUAGAGAAAAUGUACAUUUUAUUGUUCUGUUACAAAAAAUUACUGUUUAUAUCAUGAUUGAGCAAGAGUUUUUUUACCAUUACUCUUCAUGAAGGUACCCCUAUUACAACCCUCUUGAAUAGUUCAGAACAAUUUUUACAGUCUUAACUGUGAUUUAUGAAACCAAAACAGAUAAAGGACACAUGAUUGAGGCCUAAGCCUAUUUUAUCUUCAGCAGUAUUUUAAUCUAAAAAAAAAAAUCUCUUGUCAUUUCCUCACAUAAGAGUAACAAUGGUCUGAGUUUUUAAACUACUUACAAACAUUUUUUUUAUUCAAAAGCAGUAUUCCCAUACAGGAUGGCAGCAAUGUCUUAAUUAUUUUAUUUGAUCAAAGCUUUCUGAAUGUGUUAGCGAAUGGGGUGUAAUGAUUUCAAAGAUAAAAAGGAAACCACAAAUUUUAUAGAUGGUACAACGCCCAAUAUGGUUUGUUGUGCAAACUGCUCGGUAAUUUAUUUCUAUUUGUCAAGUUUUACAUGAACAAAUUUUCCAUUUCUGUUUUUUUUAAUAUCAAUAAUUACACAAUUUUUUGUUAAAGGUUUCAAACAUGGUUAAAUUAUAUGGAUUUUUCAUUUAUCUUUACAAGUGACUCAAUGCAAUUAUUCAUGCAUCUUUUUAAAACUUGCUUCAAGCAAUGCAUCGAAAGGGUAUGAGUUCAACCCGCAUAUUUAUCUUUUUUUAGAAGCGUGACUUUAUAAGGCUUUUAAUUUCCACCGGCACGUGGACAGGAUGAUUAUUAAGCUUUGCCAAAUCAAUAACAUCUAAUACACGCAGAAAGGGGAUAUAAUAUGAUUUCGACAUUCCUGAAUUUCUAAUGUCUUUUUGUCACAUUUUUAUGAUGGCAGCAUACUUGAGAUAAAGAACAGCUGCGAUUUAUUACAAAUCAUCUUGUAUCCCUUGUCUCCGAUAAUUUUCAUAAAAUUUUUAGACCUUGGAUCUUUUGAUCACUGAUGAAUCCACUAGCUUGUAAACAAGUAACAAAAAUCAAUUGGGAUUUUAUGGUUGAAGCCUAUUAAUAAUAAAUUGAUUAUGCAAAUAUUAAAAAAAUUAUGAAUUCAAAAAGAACUUUGCCUUAGUUUAAGUAAACGGUUAAUUGACAGUGUGUGAAUUUUAGAAAAUAGCAUUAAAUUAAGAAAAAGAAUGACAAAAAAACAAACUUAUGAUAGUGGCCGGAUUGUAGAAAUCUGACUUAUUCAGAUAAUGUAGGAUUAUAUCUUGUCCACUCCUAAGUGACCUGAUCAUGUCACAGGUCAGUAGUGGUCACUCUUUACUGUGUCAGCAUUUUCCUGACAGGUCAAUUUCUUAAAUGUCACUUGGGAAGUCAACCCAGGGGUCAUAGAGAUUAGAAAAUUGAAUUAACAACCAGAGAUGAAAAUUACUUAAGAAAUAAUAUUAACCCUCAUGGUGGUUAAAAUAUUAAUGGCUAAUUAAUUUAAUGUUUAUUAAAUGAAUUCUAUUUAAUUUGGUUUUGAAUAAUUCUUCCUUUCAUCUCAUGAAGAUUUAUUGAUUAUCAUAUAGGUAUAUAUUUUCAUAAAAAGCAUAGUAAAACUCUUAGAUAUUACCAGUAUUUGAAAUCGCAUAUUUGUCAUUAAUUGAUCAGUUAAUUUAUCAUAUAGAUACUCUUUGAAGUAGAAUUUGUUUUUCAUAACUGGAGAAAUUACAUUCUGUUUAUUUUGAUUGACAAAUAAAAACCACAUCAAAAAUGUGUAUAAUUGUUUCCUUUCACCUUUUAAAUCCACUUAAUAUUUAAAAGCCACAUCAAAAGAUUAACAUAGAGGUGAUAUAAUUACUGAUUAACAGUUGUAUGUAAAUUAACUGUAAAUAUUGAUCAGGUAAAUAUUUAUUUAGAUUUAUCACAUUUUUGUGCUAUUAAUUGAAAUGAUAAAAACAUUUCCUGACAAAUUAGUUUUUGGAAUUAUAGUCAACGCAUUUGUGAUAGAUAGAUAGAUAGAUAUAUAUGACAAAUCUUGAAAAUUUUAUUUCGUUUAACAUCAGUCAUGACCUUUUUGGGUUUUUUUUUUUGUUGCAAGUUAACUAAUUGACAUAGACCCUGAUUUUUUGUAUAUGCUUAGCCAGAAAAGUAAAUUUUAAAAACUUAAUCCAAAAAAUUUUAACUGCUAAUCAAAUUUCCAAUAGUAUCAAACACAUUAUACAGAUUCAGAACAAGUGGUCACAGACAUCUUUCAGAUCUAAUUCAGUUUUCUGCCCUUGCUGAUAUUUGGCUUGCUGACAUAACUUCUAUGCUUUGCAAGAAAAAAAAAUCAGUGAUUGAAAAUUAAGCAAUGUAAAUGCAUACAUUUAAUACAAAUUACAGCUGAUAAUUGGUUCCAGUAAUGAGAAUGUUAAGAAUUUGUUAAUUUCAUAGAUCAUCAAUACAUCAAUGGCAACAUGACCUGACCUCUGAGGCAUUCCUCAACCCUAUGUUAUCUAACAGUGUGGGUCUUCACAAAUAUUUAGAGGGUGCAACUUGAUACAGGGAGACCAACAAUUAUACACUUCAAAAGGUUACUUGACUUGAAGUAGCUUUGACCUGGUCAGGACCUGUCAAUCAGUUCACAGUUUUUUUAGGCCAAAGGAUAUUUCAGGAUAUUGGGGAAAAGUUAAUUGAGCUGCAAUGGAUUCUCAAGUUCUGUUACAUAAAAUUUUUCAUUGAUUUUUAGUACAAAUUAUUCAGUACAUAAAAGUACUACUGUAUAUACAUGUAAACUAUGCUAUAUAAUCAAAACUUCAGUAACAGAAGAGCAUGCAUUAGUUUGCUUUGAAAAUUGCCAUUGUAACACCAAGGCUAGAACCUGGUAAUUUUGCCACUAUCAUCACUCUUCCAACUGACCCUGAGUAAAAAUACAUGAGUGCAUCUAAUAGAUGGCUUUCAUGAUAAUCUUCGGGUAUACCCUUUUAGAUCACUUGAGAUCACCCCUAGUUUUAGGUUAUUUUUGUAGCUCAGCUUAGAUUUCUAUGUAGUGUUUUGUGAACUUGAUGGUCUUUUCUGUUUUGUUUUUUCUUCUCAGCUAUAGUGUUGUUAGUUUCAAUUGACUUCAGAUUGCAUAAUAACUAUAAAACAUUAAAACAAUCAAACUGCCUACAUUUGAUAAACUUUGUCACACUUUUAAGUAAAGGGGGAAAAUUUGUAACCUAUUUUUCUUUUCAGAAUCUUUAAAGUAAGUCGGUGAGGAUUAGGUGUAUAACGAUGUUUUUAGAUGUAAGUAGGUAGGGAGUUUAUAUACAUAUCAAGUCGUGUUAAUCUCACUUUUAUUGCUAUAAUUUCCUAUAGAAAAGUAUGUUUAAUUCAUGGUUCACUUUCAUACUCAUCUUUAUUGAUACAUUUAUCAAUAUCUGAGCCAUAGAGGUCUCCGCUUUAACUAUGGACUAAUGUUCAGGUCUGACCUCCAUUUGAAUAAAAAAGAAAUAAAAUUGAAAAUUUGCAAGCGCUUGAUUUACAUUUGAAAUCUAAAAGUAUACAGAUUGUAGACAUCUUUUCUGAUAAAAUAGUAUAAUAAUAGGCCAUAGAAAAGCUGGAGGGAUGGAAAUCAGCUUUAUGUCUGGGGCAUUUAUCCAGGUGAAAGCUAUUUUAAUCACUUUUGAAAUAUAUAAUAUCAAAUGCAGACUGUAUGCAUAUUUCUGCACACUUGAUGCAAAUUGUUUUGGUGUUUAUCCAAUAAAGGUAGACUGAGAAUGUGGUAAAUUAUUCAGUUUUGAUAGUUUUGGUAUAAAAUAAAACAAUUUUUGUAGUAUGAAUAAUCCCAAUUCUGAUGUUCUGAAACUGAAUUGUUCUACUCCUAUGACUAAAGCAUUGUGGAUUCAGAGGAGAGAAUUAAUAAAUGAACAAGAUAGCUACAAGGUUUUUGGUGUUUUUAUAUGUAUAUAAAUUAAUUGUAUUAGACAAAACAUCAUGAUUUUAUGAUAGAAAAUACAUGAAUAACUAUAAGCCAUAUUUUAUUUUACUUGUUCUGAAAACAAAAAAGUACUUGAUGCACCUGUAAAAGUCAUCCUUUCUUUAGCUGAAAGCUUAAACCUCAAAAUCCGUUAAAACAUUAUAAUUCUAAUUUCGUGUAACACCUAGGAUAAUGCACUUUUGUGUGGUUAUGUUUUAUCCCUUAUUUUAUUUUUUUUAAUGUUGUGCAGAAUUAAACUGUAUUGUUUUUGUAGGAAGUUUGAGGUUUAACUUGGUUAAAAACCACUUCUGGCAAAAUCUUGAUUGAAUGAAACUAUUAAGAUUUAUCUGAAUAAUUGGUUUUGAUCAUAAAAUAUGAAUAUUAAUAUUCUAAUUUUAUUGAUUUUUAUCAUUGUUUUUCUUUGCCUUAGGUUACCUCUUGUCAAGAAGCAUGGCGAAAACAACAGUAUGAUGUAAAAUAAGUACCGUAGAACUAACAAGAGGGCAGGUGUUACCAGCAACUGUAGCGUUGCCGAACCAAUGUAAAUUGUGUAUUCAUGUUCUACGGUAAAGAAAAAAAAGAAUCCAUUGAUUUAUACAUGUGUUACAAACAGGUGGGGCAGGUGACAAGCACACGACCAUGCCUGGUGGCCUAACAAUCAUGCACGCUUUCUUGUCUUACAAAUAAAAACACAAACUGUUAAAAACUACCAAACAAGUUUUCUAAUCCUACCAUUAAUUGAACCCAUUAAGAAUCGCAGUCUGUGUCCCUUUUACAUGGAAUUUUAACAGUUUGGAUUAUAUAUUAAAGGACCAAUUGUCACCCAAUAGAGAAAAACAACAUAUAAAGAUUGUGAAAUUAACAACUUUUCUUUUGUCCUAUUGUAGCUACUCCUCUUUUGAAAGUUUGUAACAAUUGUAUAAGAACGGCAUACAAAUAUCUUUUAAGUCUACGUCAAGGGGACAAAUAGACACUCUGACAAACUUCUGUUUACAUUAAAUAACACAUAGAAUGGUCAAUAUUUAUCAGAAUGUAUGUGAGGUCUCAAGGGUCGAACCGUAGGUGACAAUUUUCUUGAAUAAUAUUAUAUAAUGCAAUCAUUAUAGUAGUGUUGAUUAAAUUAAGCACAUAUUUUAUUAUGAUCCAUCUUGGUUUCGUAGUUUAUUUUAGCUACUUAAAUUAUGAUUUUAAACACCUAUGUUCUGAAGAAGUAAAUUUUUUGAAAAUAUAAUUGCAGAGUGCAUGCAGUACUGUCCAUCAGAAAUAGAUAUGAUAUUUUGGGUAGAUGCAUGUGACACAAAUUUGAAAAAAAUAAUUUUCAAUAUUUUAAGGCGUUGGAAUCGGGUGAUGUCUUUAAACAUCAAAACUGGCCAAUAUUUAUAGGGACUAGUCUAUGUUCAAAUGGUCAUUUUAAACAUGAGUUAAUCCAUGCUUUGCCUAGAUUGACAGAUAUCAACAAACAGACUAUAUUGUAGACUAUAAAAAAAACCCAGUCCUAUGAAUAACUUAAGUCGAGGAUAAACCAAUGUACAGAUUCAUUGAAAAUCCAGGUUAUUUUGAGGCCAACCUGGGAUUAGUAUUUUUAUCACUUAUUUCAUCUUUUGUCCUGUCAUGUUAUAAUAAUUUAUUAACAUUAUUUAUUUUGACUUGUUUUAGAUGUUCUAACAAAAAUUCUAUUGUGUUUUGUGAGGUUUCAAAAUUUUUCGUUUUGAGCUUUGUCUCUGAAAUUGGAAAACAUAAAAUCCUAUAAUGAAUAAGAAACAUUUAUUAAUUUCCUUUCUAUCCACUAAACUUGCAUGUAAUAUAUUUAAACAUUUGAAAAGAGAGUUGCUAUAAUUUCAUUUCCACAAAAUUGAUUUAUUUGCAUUUCUGACAUUUAAAUGAUAUAACAUUAUUAUGGAAUAAAAUUUGGCAUUAAUAAUUUUUUAAACGAAGAAUAUUAACUUUUUUUCUAUUUCAAUAAUGAAACUUAAGAGUUUAUAUUGAAUUAAAAAUGGAUGCAUAAAUUAAAAGAUUUAUAGAUUUUUUUUGCAAGGAGACUACAUGUAUUAUUAAAAGUCAUGUAAUUGGGUCUUUAAAUUUGCACAUUUUGUUAGAAAAAGAUUUCUCAAGAUAAAAUUUUAAAUUUUCUCAUGACACUUUUGUAUGAUUUAGAUAUGACUUUCAAUCUUUAAGAACAAAUUUGGUGACUAUUUUGAAAAGCUAUGUCCUUUAACCGUUUCAUAGUUCUUAUUUAUUAACAUAUUUUCAGUAGGUUUAUUGUUCCUUGGAGAUUUACAAUGAGUUGUGGUAAAGUUUUUGGUAACCCAAUGAAUUCAACAAUAUUUUAUGUUGGAACACAAUUAAGUUUACUGUUUGCGUUUUGUUUUGCAUACUUACAGAUCUUAAUAUAAAAGUUUGUGAUUUAUAUGUACACAACAGUCCAUAAUUUUGAAAAGUCAAAGCAUAAAAACCAAAGGGGCUUUAAAACGAAACAGCCAAAACUGUCUAAGGGUCAACUUUGCUUAGGGAUGGAACUUUAGCACAUUCAUAUUUUUUUUGAAUGUCCAAUAUUGGUUAUAAUCUUAAUAUAUCACUGAAGAACCAAGGUCAUUAGAGCUUCACAAAUCACAAUUUGCAAAGUCUCAAUUAAAAAAAAAUUAUGACAAAAAAAAUAGAAAAAAUUGUGUCAUGUGUUGAUGGACUGUUGUCUUAUAAUUGUAAAACCCAGAAGACACAUAUACUUUAUUCAAAUGAAAUGAUGUUUAAAAAUGAGCGAUUAGCACUUGCCAAAAGUUACAUACAUUGAUGGGUUUCCUGAAGAUAUUUGUUUCACGCAUUCUCUUAACUUUAUAUUGAACCAUAAAACACAAAAUAUGAAAUUAAACAUGUAAUAUUCUGUAAUAAGGGUGAAGCAAAUAAUUGGGGUACUUUGGAUGCGUGAAAAAAAAACCCAUAUAGUUACUGUAUUCUGUUACAAGAUAAUGAUUAAAUAUAUUAUCUUUUUUUCACAAGUUGUAUUAUUCGGUGUCUAUGAAUCUCCUAAUUUUCACAACCUGAAACCAGACCAUCUUAGAAUCAAUAACUACUUAUCAUUAUAAGCUAUUUGAUAGGAUAUUAAGAAGAGAUCAUUUUUAUCUUCAAAUCUUACUAAUCAGUGAUAAGCCUGUUUAAUGUCAAAAAUACAAGCCAUUUGUCAUAAUUAUAUUUAUUUGCAAUUUGUUGAAAUGUACACCUAAUUGACAUAUGGCUGCCAUCUUGAAAUGGACAUGAUGACACACAGAUUAGUUCUUGUUUAGUUAAUUACAAUCAAACACAUGAUAAGGAGACCAGGAAUGAGGCUAUAUAUCUUGUAAUUGCCAUAAAAAUUGUUUAAUUUAUGAAACAACCAUAUCAGAUUAAAUACUUAUAUUUAAGAAAUUUUAUCUGACUUAGUCUUUUAAAUGUUACUGAGAUUUAAAUUUUGGGCUGUCGUUAGAUUAGGCUUUAUCACAAAUUUUGUAUUGUCUUGUCUUAGUCUGAUUAAUUCUCCAUGUAUGGAACACCACUUUCAGGAUCACAUUGAUGAUGCAAGACAGAUAUCAGCAUCAUAUAGUAAUUAUGUUGGGUUCUGAAAUUUGCUGUUAGUUCUCCUUUCUUUGAAUUAGUUUUAUCUUUUAUCGUAUUUAUCCCUGAAUUGCUAUCUCUACAGAGCAGAACUGUUACUGUAGUUUCACAAUUGUUAGAUUGUUUUGCAAAGGAGUAGAUUCACGAAGGGCCAAUAUUGACCCAAUUUUUCUGCAAAAAAAGCUAAAAACUUUGUCCUUAUGCUCUCAUCAGAAGAAGGUGGUUGGAAUAGUUUAGAGUUACUGUCCCUUAUUUUGUCACCUGCAUACAUUGAUGUCAUGUUGAAGGUGUUGAACCUGAAAAUUUUCAAGUAGCCUGAUAUUCUCCAUAACCAUAAUUGAAAUACAACUAAAUUUUUGUCAUUUGCAUAUGAUAUAGCCACUGGGCAUUAAGCAAUCAAUAGUCAAUUAAUCAUCUUCCUCAUGAGAGCAACUUGAGAUGAAGAUUUAAAUAUAUUGCAUUUCUUAUUAAAAUGAUAUUAUAAUGUGCAGUAUGAUCUUAGUAGAAUUUAGUGAGUAGGUGUGUGGAUACUUGAUAAAAAUAAAAUAAAUUUAGAGGAUUUUGAGCAACAUGUUGCAACAUCACAAAGAACUUUAAACUUUUAAACUUUAAUGGGGUAAUAUCAGCAUCCAUAAAUUAAGUAGAAUACAAAAUAUAGUUUAUGUUUAAAUAACCUUGUGGCAGGAAACUGAUGAAAAUGUAUAUAAAGAUGAGAUUUUGAUGAAGAUUAGCAUAUUUCUAUUCUUAUUUUUCCAUAUCGAGUUUGGUCUUGUCUGAAAUUAUAUCACACAAAUUAUUUUUAAGGUCAAUCUUCUUUAUAAAAGAUUAAAAGUUUAUCUUGCCUCACAAUGCCUUACUAAAAGGAUGAAAAAAAUAAUAUCUUCCUUGCUAUUAUAUAUUUCAAAUGAUGUAUUGGGGAUAGUCAAGUUUGAAGUUUUUAAGCGUGAAAAAUCUACCUCAGACUUGUUUAGUCAUUAAAUUAUUAGUUUUGUGUAUUGGGUUUAUUAUUGAAGUACAUAGGAAUUGUCAUCUCAAUGUGAUAUUAAGCAUUUAAAAGGCAAUUUGAGUACUUAUAAUUAUAAGCUAGAAGUAAGUCCGUCACCAGGGGUGGAGGAAAGAAUGUCUUUUCUUUAUGCAGAGUGUCUUGACAUGAUUUGCUGACUUCAUGUUUUAAGAGAUUACUAAAUGUCGAGCAUAUUUAGACGGUAAUCUUUUCAGGACAAUCAAAAUAGUUAGGAUUUUGUAUCCUGUUUAUGGGACGAAAAACCCCGCUGUUUCCAUUUCCAUGUCAGACUGUUUGAUAGAAGGCAGUUGUACCAAGACCACCUAAAAUAAUUAUCCUAUGAUAAUAAACAUGUAUAAAAUAGGAUUAAGUAUGUCAUGGUCUUUAUUGUAACAUAUUCUAGGGGCUGUAAAAAGUACUGUUCUACCUCUGACUGACAAAGGUCGUCUAGUAUGUAUCCAAAAAUGAAGCCUUGUUAAUAAUUAACUGUUUUUUUUUCUUUGAAUUAUAAGAAUUAGUAAUUAGCCAUGAGGAAUUUAUCUUAUUAAAGAUUUGUAAUGUCAAACAGCUGAAUUCAUAUAUUUUUUUAAUGUCAAAAUUAUAUAAUUUACCUUAUAACUUACCAAUAACCAAUCUCAAUUCAAGUUGAGAGACAAACAUGAAUCAUUGCAUCCUAGAUCCUAAGCAAUUGUAAAAAUAGUAAACUUCCAAUUAAUCAAUCAGAUUGUGAUACAGUCAGUAUUUAGAUUUUAUAACCCUGCUGCAGUGGAGGGGGCAUAAGGGAUAACCCUCGUCUUAAAAAAAAAAUCCCUUCUCAAACUUUAGUUUGCCUUAUACUCAAUGCUAAUUACCACCAAACACCAACCAAGCUUGAAUUUUGGUGGCAAUUUGUUUAGUGUUCUUGAGUUAUGCCCCUUCAUAAAUGGAAAAAAUGAUAAAAAAACAUAUAGAAACAAACACAAUUAAGUUUCAAAGAAACCAAAAUAGGUUUGAAUUAAUAAAUUGCCUCUUGCAUAUUUACAAGCAGGAGCAUCUUAUUUGGUCAAAGUGUUGAGUAUGAAUUUUCAAACUAAUUUCACUGAUUGAUAUGCCUUGGUUGACCAUAAAAUGUAGGUUAUUUAAAAUACUUAAAAAAAAAAAAAAAACCUUCUCAAAAGGGAAAUUACUCCUAUAAUUAAUGAGACAUUUGAAAAAAAAAAACAUUUUUAAAAGAAUUUGUAAUAGCCUCCCAGUAGAGAUUGACCUCAUUAGUGUUGUGUUCAGUGACAUGUUUUUCAUGUUUGUUAAAAAAUGUGAAAAUUCUAACAAAUUUAUUUUAAAGAGUAUAUUACUAGUGAACAGAUGUAGCACGCAAUAAUAGCUGCAUUUUAUUUUAUCAAGUGAAUUAUUAGUAAUAAUGUUAUUAUUAUAUAUUUACCUCCUAAGGGUAAAACAAGGUGAUAAUAAUGUUCUUUGGUUGGUUCAAAGGCACAUAUGUAUAUUGCUGCUGACAGGUUACAUUUGUAUUCAUAUAAACUCUUGCAUGAUUGAACAAUUUAAACAGGAGUUGUCUCCUCUUCCCACACAAAUGUCACAUGGUUGCUUUGAAGUUCGGAAAACAAUAUGUCUCCAGGAAUUUUAUUUAUAUAUAUAAUAACUUAAAAGUUAUAUGGGGACAAUAAUAACUAACUGCUACAUCAGCAAGAACGGAAAACAAAUUCUUAACCUGGGCUUGUGGCAAUUGUGAUGAAAUGAGAUUAAAAUUGCAAAUAGGCCUCAUUUUUUUCCCAAUAAGUAGGUCUUAAUUGUUAUCAGUAUGGUCAGCAUUACACUUGCAAACAAUUUUUUUUAACAAUCUGAUAAAAGCAAUUUCAAAGUCUCGGGCCAAAAUUAAAAAUAUGUUUGUUUCCUGUCCCCCCACCCAUGUCAUAAAUUAGAUAAGUUGCCUUGACUGGACAAGUCGAACCAUUCAUGUGACCAUCCAGUUAAAAAAAAAUUAAAAAUAAAGAGCUUUCUCUGUCUUUUUACAAAGGUAACGGGAAACAGACAUUCUUUUAAAAUGGCCUUGUGUCUACUACUAGGCAGUGGCGAAUCCAGAACUUUUCAUAGAGGGGGAGGGGAGCUCAAGUCAUGCUUCAGUGAUUCCCUCCAUAAUCAACCAAAUUUUUCAAAAGGGGGGCAGGCACCCCAGGGCCCCCUAGAUCCUCCUAUGCUAGGGAGUUGUUUAAUGAACUUGACUACCUAUGAGGGUCGUUCACGGUUGGUCUUGUGUCUUGAACAGACCUUUAUUUAUACAUGGUGCCUUGUUUGUAGGUUGGGACUCAUACUGUAUCUAUUGUUCCCAGCUGUAUAAAGGAAGAGGUUUGUUACAACUGAAAAAUUGUCCAAAAUUGAAACCUCAGUAUAUCUACAAAUAAAGUGAAUUUACUUUUUCCCUUAAUCACCAUUAGUGUCUAACAUGAUGUCAAAUGCAAGUAAAAUUAAGCCUUUUACUAAUUUCUUUAAAGAAAAUUUGACAAGUACAAAUUGUACUGCUAUACCAACAAAAUUGAAUUUCAUUUUUAUAUACAUAUCUUUAAAUUGUUGCAGUUAUGUCAUGUUAAUUCAGUAAAAAUACCUGACUUUAAAUCUAAAUAAUGAUGUUUAUGGAAAAAAUGACAACAUAUUAACUUUUCAUCAUCAUAAUCGAUGCUCUAACCAUUGUUCUGUACAUCAUUAAAAUUCCUUAUACAUGCAGUGUCACCAUCCUUUUGAUAAUUUAGUGGAUUUACAGGAUCAGAUACUUUCACUCAUUACUUAUUUGUAUCCAAAGAUUCAUAUCAUUAAAAAAACUUACAAAUCUUUUUAAUAUAUAGCGCUUUUUUUUUCUUUUUUCAAAAACAAUUCUCUACUUUUUUAAUGUUGCUAUUUGCUUAAAAAUAAGCCAGCAUUUUUAUUAAAAGUGUAAACGAGUUUCAUUGUUCAAAUCAAUCAUCAUUCUUUUAAAAUUCUAAAUUUAUUGUUUGCAUUUUAAAACUUAUUUUGUUCCGCCCACAAUUCUAUAUAUACUUAUAUAAGCUAUAAAAAACAUACAAAGGCUAAAAAUAAAAUCAAUAAGAAAUCAGCAUAUUGUGCUGACAUUGGGAGUUAUGCAUUAAUGACAUGUGCAUAUUGUGUGUAUGUGUGCAGUUUUAAUGUAUUGGAAUUUCUUUGUUGUACAAUGGACAAUGACCCAGUGCAAGCUUUUUAGGCAUAAUUAAAACAAAGGAUAGCAGUAGAUUAAACAAGAGGUGGUGCACGAGGUAUUUAAUCAGUAAAUUAAUACAAAACAUUUUCUUUGUCCUGGGACAUUGAUUUAUAUUUUUAUUUUUUAUGUUGAUUUAGCAUUUGUUGCAUUCUUAAAUGUUAUGUUGUUAACUUCAAAAUAGAAAGUGCAUUUUGUAAUUUCUUUGUUUCAUUUCAGAAGACCGAUUUUACUUUGUUUGAAAAAUGGAUGAUUUAAUUGUGUAUCCAGGAAUUAAAGAAUGGUGGAAUUUGAAAAAAAUGAAGAAACUGUUGAAGUAAGAAAUAUUCUGAUCAAAAAUGCAGAGAUUUACUUGACUUUUUAAUGUCCUCUUAAAGUUAUAGUUUUUAAGAUAAUGAGGGUUGAGAUCUCAAAAAGUUCAAACACUGCCAUAUGUUUAUGAGCCUGUAGCAAGUAUGGAAUCUCUUCAGUUUUAAUAUAUGUCAAUGGAUUAGUUAAAUUUGAUAUCCCUGUCCAUACAUGAGAAUACUAAUCUGUUGGUCAGUGAUAUGUAAAUGCAUGGUCCAUUAAUUAAAAAAAAACUAUUUUUUAAUUGUAUAAUUAAUGUAGACUUUAAAUGUGGUUUUUAACUUGAUAGUUCAAAAUGUCAAUGUCCUGCAUUAAGACAUGGUUCCUUGGUACCUCAUCCAGUCACAUUUUUUCCAUCCUGAUCUGCCCAGUCUGCUAUUUCUCCUAGAUGCAGCAGGCUUGCAUUUAAAUAGGAGUAUUUAGAGGAGAAGAUAACUGUCAGAUUACAGUCAAUUCUAUAUAAAAGUAUUUCUAAGUACCAGGGAGCCACAGUUACCUAGUUUACCUUCAGUGAUCCCUGAAGCCUCUGAGGUCUGUUUCAACCCUGCUGGUGGCACAGUGUGUUUCAAUUGUAUCUCAAUUGACUUUGACUUGAGAUUGCCAGUUUUCCUACUGAAAGUCUCUGGUUCUCUAUAGGGAAGCCAACUUGCUCAACAACAAAAAAUCUCUUCCAUGAUAUUUAGAUGCAAGAAGAUGUGGUAUGAGUGCAAAUGAGACAUCUCUCCAUCCAAGUCACAAUUUAUAAAAAUAAACCAUUAUAGGUAAAAGUACAGUCCCUUUGCUUAAAUUUUUAAUAGCAAGCUAAAAAGGGCCCCAAAAAUGACAGAGAUAAAGGAAACACUUAUGUACCACACCAUCAAAUGAUAACCACUGAACAUCAGGGUCCUGACUUAGGACAGGUACAAAGAAAUGCAGCGGGUUUAAACGUUUUAAUAGGAACUAACCCUUACCUGAAACAAUAGUGAAACAUCACAACAUAGAAAGACACUAUAAAAUAUCAAGUUUUACUCUUGUAUCUAAAUAUAACCAGAUUUUUUCAGUUCUUCUUUAUAAGUUAUAAAUAAUAUAUUGUUGCAUAUUGAUAAAAUUUCAUUUUUACAGGCAACUUAUAGUGUAUACAUAACACUGCUAAGUAACAAGUACAAUUAUGUCACUGUGAUCUACAUUUUAUUGAUUCUGACUUAAUUUUAUGUUCAACUUUUUAACUUUAUUAUAAAUCAUUUGUUGAUACUCUUGUAUUAGAUAACAUACUUAUUAUUUUGCAUAAUGGAUUACAUUAAGAUUACCUACCCUUUCGGCAUUUUGUAAACAUUUUUGGUUAAGAAAUUUUUCAGAAAUUUUUUUGCUUUUUGUUCUUUUUUGUAACUGGUGAUAGUCAUUUCAAGCUCCACUCUCUUAAGCUUUAAGGUUUAAGGUUUAAGCUUUAGUCAAUAUUCCAACUUUUUUCAUAUUCUAAUUGAAAGUAGACUUAGCAUGUCUCAAAGAGUAUUAUCUUUUUCUUCCUUAGGUAAGGAAACUUUUAGAGGGAAGAAGAUUGUAUAAAUCCAAUUAAUAAUUUCCUGAUUUUGUUUUACAGUUUAUUAAAUAAUCACAGGAUGUUAUCCAGUAUUCCUUUAGGGAUUCAUAAGGAGGAAUAGAAAAAUCAUGUUAUCCAUUGUAAGGAGAGUUCAAGAACACUUUCUAUUGACAAGGUAAAUAUGUAUUAAGAUCUCUCUUGAAGUGUUGAGGGUUGUAAACAUGGACUACAGCCCAGACUUAGGGGCCAUGAUGGCAGAAUGGACUUAUGAUGAAUAUAGACAGACGAGGAUUUAUACUUCUAUUACAACAUAACAAUAGGGACUAAUAGAGUAAGAUGUUAUAGAUAUGAGACCGGGACUCAAUAAAUGUAUAUGAAAUAGAGUUGUAAGCCAGUGGUUUACUCCAGGUCACCAGAAUUCUGGUUAAAUUAUAUAAAUGGAUAGAAUGAGGCAUCAAACAAACACACUUGACUUGUUGGAAACUUUAACAUGUCAUACAGAGAUUGGACAUUGGUAUUUUACAUUCUAAAAUAAAUGUUUUUUCAUGCAAAACACCUUCUUGACAAUUAUUUUUAAGCAAAUUAGGCCCAAACUAUAUCUUAUCCUUAAGAGAAUAUAAAAGCGACAUUUACCAAGAAAAGGGCUAGAUUUUGUCCUUUAUAUGGUUGUUUAUACCUAGACUGGUCUAAAACUGAAAACAAGAAUACCCACUCCUAUUGCCUGUUAUUUCUACAGCUAAUUAACAAACAAAAUCAUAACCUGUACAUGUAUGUAGAAACUAAAUUGAAAUGUUAUAUGUGCUAAAAUAGCUGUGAAAUAUCAUUUGAAAAUAUUAGCACAUUUACACCUUUAUAAAUGUUCUUCCAUAUUAAGUGAGAAUAGAUAAAGUUUAAUUUAUAUUUGUCAAAAUAGUUUAAAAAGAUGAUUCGUCAACCAAAAGGUUAAAAUCUUUCUACAAAUUCACAGUUUUCUCAAUAAAAAAUAUGAUUGACUGAAAGUUGCUUGCUUAAUGUCCAGUGAAAAAAAUAAGAUUAAUUGGAGAACUGUCAAGAUCAAAAUAACACCUGUUUAAAAAUAAAAUUGGUAAGAUUUUUUUUAAAUUUAAAUAUUAUGAUUUAUUUAACUGAAAGCCUUUAUUGAAUUUUCGUGUUCUAAUUGUAUAUUUGCCACAUGCUUAUUAGGUUUUCUAGCGCAAUACAUUUUUGAAUUGAACUUUCACGACUGAUAUUUUGAUUUCCUUUAAAGGAAAACUCAAAUAACCAAUUAAGCAAAUAAGGUUUUUUGUUUUCCCCAUCUUUCCUUAAAUUACUAAUGAUUUCUUACUCCUGAUAGCAUUAUGUAUUUUAGUUAUCAUAUAAAAUCAAAUUAUUAAAACAAUUAUAGAGCAAAUAGUGUAUAAAGACAAAUGCACCAUGAAUUAUUAACAUUUAACAAGAAAAAAACAUAGAAAUGUAAUGCUUGAUAGAUCACUUAGAAUAUUUGAUAUUACUUAAUAAAAAAUCAGUUUUUUAUGAAACUGUGUAAUCAGUAUACAUAAUAAAUGAAAAUCAUGUACAAUAGUAAAAUAUGGAGACAGACCAUUGCUACAACCAAGCAAGCCAUGUCAUCAGAACUUUGGAGAUGUAUUACAAUAAUAAGAGGAGUUUAAUAGGGAUAAAAGAACCUGAGAAUACAAUAACACUCCAUUUUAAAGACAUGUGGACCAUUAAAAUACAAAAAAGUACAAAUCAUUGUCCAUGACAGAAAGUUUGAGAUGGGUGUGAAGACAAGGUCUAAUGAAAGUUGAUGUGAUUCAUAGCUCUACCAGAUCCAUCUUCAUUAAAAAUCAUCAAAUUUUGUUUUCAUCCUGUCGUUAUAAGAUGUAUACUAAUUCAUCAUUACAUCCUUAGGCAAGGACAACCAUCAUGGGGACAAAUUUCUUACGACACGAUUUAUACAGACAAAUUUUAAUACUGGCUGUAUCAUUUAUCAUCAGUAUAAUAAGUGUUUCCCGCCAAAACAGGAAACAUUUAUUUAGACACCUGAUAGGCCCCUAGUUGUCGUCAUCUAUUAUUUUGGUCAACUGAUCUUGAAAUGUUAAAAAAAAAAUUGUCAGUUUUUAUUUCAAGGUUAAGUGAUCUACUUGAAUAUUGUAAGGUUAUAUACUCAAUAGAGAUGUUUUUUAUCAAGGGAUGGUCAACUUUUUUGACAUACCUACUUAAAAAAUACCAAGAAUCAUUAGAAUUAUACAAGUGUUAGUUUUUUACAUUUUUAAUAAUAUAUGAUAAAAAGAUGACUCAAAAUACUGUUUAAGUAGAAGUUGAAGUUAGCUUUAGGUAAAAAAAAAAGAAAGAGAUUUAGACCUAAUGAAGAGUCAUGUUUGUUCUAUAGUAAAAUAACAAUUGAAAAUGUUAGGCUUCUUAAAUUUAAUUUUAAUGACUGCAUUUAUUUUGCAUAGUUUCAAAUUUUCUGCAAAUGGCAUAUUGGAGUUAUGGGUGGGUACCACUGAAAUAUAGCUGGAUAAAAGUUCUUUUCUGGUAGUAACCACAUGUCCGCUGCAUAUCCAGUGUCUAUAUAUGUUCCUGAUUUCUUCUUGAUUAUAAUCUUAAUGGUUUAUCCCUCUUCAAAGCUGAUACUAAUGGUUAAUCUUGGGUUUGAAGAAAGUAUAUCAGAAGGUUGAGUUGUAUUGAAAUAGUGUUCAUGCCAUAUCUUUAUUCUGCAUCCAAGUCUACUUUCCCCAUCCCUUCAAUUGUACAUCUUGGUAGAACAAGGCAUUAUCUUUUUGGUGUCACAGCAAAUAAAUUUAUUAUAAUUGUGUGUUAUACAAGAUCUCUUUAGUAUCCUCUAUCAUUUCACUCCUUAUAAACUUGAAAAUACAGAUCCCACUGGAAAAAGGUUUGAAUCUUUACAAGCCAUACCUUUUCUUCCAAUAAUUAUCUGUAAUCUUUUUAUGUCUGCCUUCUGGAGGUAUGUUUUUAUGUCUGUUAGUCCACUCUGUAUCAGGUAAAAAGUUUUUGAAUAGUUUAGAAUAAAAAUUGUAGUCCCAUCAACAUGAAAGGAUAUACAUCUCUUCAUUUUCAUGUGAACUAUUCAAAUUAUAUAUUGAAUUGAGGUUUUGACCCAAAUUUCAUAGUUCACUGAACACAGAAAUGUAAAAUGAAAGUGUAAAAUAAGUAAAUUCUCAGGUUGAAGUAGUUUACAAUGAAGUUGUGGUCACAUCACUUGAAACUUUGUACACUUAUCAAAGUAAGACGAUGUGGUAUGAUUGCCAUUGAGACAACACUCCAGUAGAGACCAAAUGACCUAAUAGUUAAAAAAAAAUAUAGGUCACUGUACGACCUCAAAAUUCAAAAAUACCUCAGAGUAACCACUUAUUCACAAAGUUUCCAUAUGUCAAUUGUCCUUGACCUCAGUUUCAUGGUUCAGUGAUUACUUGAAAAAAAGACUUACCAUGAGCAAAAAGUAGGGCAACUUUAUAUGAUGUAAUGAUUUUAAGUUUGCAUGACUGUGACCUUGACCUAAUUUUCAUGGGUUAUUGGUCAUUUAUUGAGUUUUCAUUGUUUUGUCUGUCUUGUAUACUUUUAGCAAUAGAUCAACUAUUUUUGGUAUAUUUAUUGAUUGUAAGAUGUAUUUGUCUGUCUGUCUUCGACUUGGAUUUUUGACCAGGACUAAUUUUAUAAAUCAUUAAAUUCAUAAUGUUAAAUUUAUGUGAUUCUUUUAGGAAAACUUUACUUUAAAAUAAACAUCAACAAAAAAUAAAUCCGGAAUAGUUGAGCAUGCCUGACAUUUCAGUGUGUGCACUCUUUUGUUGAUAAGCUUUAACUAAGUUAACAAGUGACCAAAUAUUGUUAUAAGACUUCCUUAGCAAUUGCAUGGAAGCCACAGUAUAUUUUAAUUUGGGUCUUUGCCUAUAAAGUAAGGAUAGGGUAUAAAGACUUAAAGGUUCACAUUUAGAGGAUGCAUCUUAUAUAUUUAUUUCUAUUGUUUGUUUGUUUUUGCAACAUAGUCCCAGGGUCCCCUGUAUACAUGGUAUGGCUAUUUGUUUUCAAUAACAGGUCAUCAAAGAGUAACCCUCAGCCAUUUUGAUGACACAGGGAAAUGUUGAUGGUUCUGCAGUUAUGAAAUCAUUUUGCAUGUGAUGAUGUCAGUUGGUCAUGUGUGACAGAAUCUCACAUAGCAAGAUGUCUAUAGGACCAAAGGGAAUUGAUUCCUUUUUAUAUUGUUUUUAAAACUAUUUGAUACAAGGAAAAAAAUGUAUAUAAUACAUAUAAAUCAUAAAUAAUGUGUUAUAGGUUUUUAAGCUUGAAAAGUGAAUCUUUGCUAUGCAGACUAGAUGAUGCCCAGAAACAUACAACUUUUCCAACACUUGAGACUUGAAAAGACUUGUAGACAUUAAUAUUACAAAAAUUAACUGUCGUCUGCCAAGUGCACAAAUUACAUUAACAUAGAAGUGUAAAUCAUUUUAUUGAUCAGUAAUAAAUAAAUCUUUUUAAAAAGAUUGAUAGAAAAAUAAAUGUUACAAAAAAAAAUAAGUGAUUGAUGAAAUUUUAGGUAAAAUUUUUGUAUGAUAAAGAUCAAAGAAAUAACAUAUAUAUAUCUUAACAGCAGACCGACUGAAAAAAAAAUCCUCAUGCUUGGAGACCUCUUUUUUUCACCUGCAGAUCCGGUUGCUUACACAAUUAUGUCAAGUUCAUUUUGUUUUUCAUGAACUAAUUGAACUACCAAUUUAAGCCACAAAAUAUUUAUUUUUAAAAUUUCAUCAUAAGCCACAAAUAAAACUUCUUUUAUUGGUUACGAUACACCAUCAACAAUAACAUAUUGUUACCUAUGGUAGUGUUUACAUUGUAUUUACUUUGGUGUUCAGGCAGAUGGGGCUUUAUAGUAUGAAUUCCAUCUUUUGUAGAUUUAAACUAUAAUUGUGAAUACAUAGACAGAUGUCCCCUAUCUACUGAUCUUCUGAUGACUUAACUGAAAUAAAAAACUUUUCAAAUGAUUGUUUGAACUAUUACAUCUCAUCUUGUGCCAUUAAUUUACCGUGGAUCAAUUUUUCUUUGAUCAUUCAGGAAGAUAUUUGGGUACUUAUUAUAACGAAUCAGGAUCGUCACAGCAGAUGAUUACCGAUUUUGUCAAUGUCUUUUCAGAAAAAGCUCGUAAACAUGAAUACAAUCGUGAAUGUUGCUUCAGUUUCACAUAAAAAAUCAAUCGUUUAUUUUUCAUUUGGUAAACUGAUAUUGGAAAUGUAGAGAUAAUUAGUAAUUUCCAUAAUAUUAUCAUUCGUCUUCUUCAAAACUGUGUAUCCAGCGCUUCAGCGAUAUCACGGCUUAACAAGAUGAGUCAUUUUUAUCAGAAAACAUUAGGAUAUUUUUUUUAAUUUGAAAGUUAAUAAUAAUCCUUUUUUAUAAGAUGAGUGUAACACAAUCACUCCAAAUGGAAAGGGGAGGAAAUUGGCUUGUGACAUGAACAAUGGUUACUAUGGUGACAUGAUAAUCAGAAGAAUAAUUUCUGCAAUUAAAGGCAUCGUCUUGAAUUUCAGCAGUAAUCUGCCUAAGGUUUCCUUCACUUUCCACAGCUGUGCACUAAUUAGGACUGACUGAUGCCAUUAAUGGUCCGAGAUUCUCAUAAUGAUUUAUAUACCGAACAUGGAUUUUAAAAAAAAUGAUUUAAUUGUUUGGUCCAAUCAAAGUUAUUAAGUCAAGUUAUUAGUCUAGGAACAAAUUCAGAAUUAACUUUGUAUUUUAUUUUUCAAUAGAAGAAUGGAAACAUUUUCUUCUUUCAUUUUUUGGACUGAAUUGCAGACCUAAAAUAUUUAAUGUUUCAAACUUUUAAUACUGGGUUUUAGGCAUACUUUUUUCUUAAUUGUCACUGUUCUUUCACUUGCUUGUAAAUUGACUAAAUCUGUAUACAUUUGUAAAGUAUGUUAUGAACAAUCUAUUGCAUUGGAAUUAACUGAUUCUAAUUUAAAAAAUGUUUUUAAUGCUUUGAAAAUCCCAGGUAACAGUCCUUGUUUUGAGCAGAUGGGAAAUGGAAAAAAAAGUUAAUGUCCCACUGGGAGCAGAUAACAUCAUUUUAUAAGAAGAGAUUUAAUGAGUGAAAUGUAUUAUUGUUUAUUUCCCAGAGUGUCCCAAGAGAUCCCUGGAAAAUCCAUUGCAAUCCAUCACUGUCGGGGCAUGUUUCAAUACAAAAACAUGCCUUAUCAGAGCCACACAGCACAGAACACCAUAAGGCCAUAUUAUUAGAUGUGAAAAUGUUUUCUUGUAAUUAAAUUAAUUAAUGAUUUAAGGGUCAGAGAGGCAGACAUUUGGUUGAAUAUGUGGCAAAGCUCCCAAUUGAGUUUAAUUUGUGCUGGUAGUGUUUGCAUAUUUGACUGGUCAGUUUAAAUGUUGCAGAAAAAAAUAUUCUAUAGUUAUUUAAAAUUACUUUUGAUAGGAAUCAGCAAUCACUAGCCAUAAAUUUUUAAAACAUUUUAAAUUCCAUGGUAUAAUUGUUAAGAGGUUAAAUUUUAAGCAUAUGAUCUGAACUCAAGUUUUCUUUAAGAUAAACUGCAUGUUCUUGGUGAGUCAGUAGGGCAAAGUCGUGUACUAAAUGUAAUAAAUAUCAAUACUUUAUCUAAGUAAAUAUGGACAUAGUUAAAGAAUGCAAAAACUAUUGUUCACCCCCUGUAUGAUAAAAUCUUCCAUCUGGCUUGAAAUUACUUAGAAACUGCAAUUUUCAGAGGCAUGUUAGAAUGCAAUAGAGUUGCAAUUUAAUUUUAUUUCAAAGGGUCACUAGAUUUUUUUGUUGCAAAUUGAAAAUUUAGUAUGAAUGAAAUUGAAAUUGAUAGCUAUUGAUUUAUUGGCAAGAUAAAUAAUGUAUACAUGGUCAAAGUCAGAGACAUCAAUCUAAAAUGAACCUUCACCUUAAUUUCAAGUCCUGCUGGGCUAAUUAUCAUUAAUUUGACAAAUUAUUGAUGUAGGCAGAAGAAUUAUGGAUUGAUUGGUGUGAUAAUCCAGGUUUUGUGACAGGUGAGCGGGAGGAUAUGUAAGAUGACAAGUACUUUUGACAACUAGGUCUGAAACUGCAUGUAUAAUUAAUCCCAUUAGCUACUCUAAGGACCUAUAACCAAGGCCACAAGUGGAGUUUGUUGGUUUUGACAGGUAGGGAUGGAAAAUCAUGCAUGAAUAAGCCAAUAGUGGUUUCCAGGAUCUAUACAUGUAUGAUUUUGCUGUUAAGAAAAUUAGGGAUGACAUCUUGAAAUGACAUGGAUGAAAACAGCAUGUGUGAAUCCCAUUGCCUGUCAAAACUUACAUUUGUCAAAUUUUUAUAGAAGUUUAGUAAUUUUUUUCUGUUAAAUUUUACAGCCAAAAUAAAGCAGUGACCUUUACAACUUGGUUUAAUUAAAUUUUUCUGCCAUUAUGCCCUGUAUGUCACUAACUCAGGUAUGAAAAUAAAGAGAUGCCAUGGGAAUUUGAUAAUCAUCCUAUUUCAAAUAAGUUUUUUAUCUUGCUAUAAAGAAAUAAUUACAUCAAUCAAGACAGAAAACAAGUUUAUUUUUAUACCUUUUUCACUUCAGACAUUGUAAUAUCUGUUUAAACUGCAUCUUUAAGGAAUAAUAUUUUUUUUAUAUAUGGUUUAUCAUUAUAUGUAGGUCUCAAAAACUACAGCUUUCAAUCCUGUCUCUUCAAAAUUGUACUAACUCUCAUAAAAUAAAAUUUUUCAUAUCAGUUGAAUUUUUAUAGUCUCCCUUGGUUUAUAGAUUUGUUGAAAUAUAUAUUGCUAAGUUCACAAAAUCUGUGUAAAGCAGUAUUUUCUUACUUAUUUUUACCACUUUUUUCCUAUAAAUUUUCUUUCAAUAUAUUUAAAGCAACUUUUUUAAAUAUCAAUUUUUUUUUUAAGGUAAUCUACUUUAAAAUUCUGACUUUUGUCUUAUUUUUCAAGGAUAAGUUACAUGUACCAUCUAAGGUUGCAUAAAAAAAUACAAGACUUAUUGGUGGUGAGGACAGAACAACUGUCAGAUGUCUUGAAAACAGUAGGGAAGUGUUGCCAGGUGAUGCAAAAAUUUUGAUGUAGAAAUGUGCUAUGGUAAUAAAAUCCAGUGACAUAUGGAGAGAGAAAAACAGGAAAUGAGGAAAGAAUGUGAAUUUUUUAUUUCCUCUGAACAUAUUUUUGUUAUAAACAUGUGAUAAGAUGACUUCAGUCAUUCAAGUACCCUUGAAUACAAUUUUCAUAGGAAAAAAAACUUCAAAACUAUCUAAAAAGAUUAAUGAUAUGAUGUACGUGGCUUCCGUUUCAAUGUAUGUAUAGCGAUCAGACUUUCAUCAGAAGUGUAAUGAAAAAAUGAACACAUGUAACCACAUCAAGGUUUUAAUAUGUCUGGAAGAUGAAAUAGUUGGUUUUGAAGGUUAAUGAUUUCUAUAAUGGUUACAUAAGAUGUGUAUUUGUUGUUUAAAAUAUAGGGAAACUUCCAAAAAAGUCCAAAAAUGUAAUACUUGUAUAUUUGGGUUAACCUCAAAACCACCUGGUCUUCCUAGCAUGUUAUGAUUGCAGACCCUCUGGUCAUUUGUCCUACUUUUAACCUCCAAAAAUAUUAAUUUAUGAAUAUAUAAUUGACACUUUAUGGAUUUAUUUGAUUGAUUAAUUAAUUAUUGACAGUUUCAUAAUGGUAUAUUGGUCCAUUUUUUUUGGCAUUGACAAGUUGUGUAUUACAUAAAGGUGUAGACUGCUGAUUUGCAAAAUUUGACAGAGUUGUAUAUUUCAGUUAAGUUACCUGGCACAUGAAUGACAGGCACUUGUGCCAUCCCUGCUAUAUGUAAUAAACAUGUUAAUGAGGACAAGAGAUUUUAAUUGGAAUCUGGUGAAUUUUAAUGAAUGUGUGAUAUUUAUAUUGUAUUGAAUGAUUGGUUGACUAUAAACUUUGGCACUUUUAUAUUUAGAUAAUUAAGAAAUCAUGCUGUUUCUUGCUGAGGAAAAGGGUUUCAGAUUUGAUAUAUAACAGCCCAGAAAGAGAUUACAGAAUAAAGUACUGAAACAAUAUAAAGAAUCAUGUAUUGCCUAUAAGGAUUUCUACCAUUAAUUAGGCAAAAAUUCUCUCUUUUGGUCUUUAGACUCUGUUUACAUUUGCAAAAAAAUGAACCAUUCUUUAUUUAAAUUGUUUUUGGGGAAGAUGGCUUCAAGCCGUCAAUCCCCAAUGGGGUUGACCAGAGUGACAUUCCUCACAAUCAUUCAUUUUGUUUUAUAGUGUGAAAAAAACCCAACAAAUCUUACUGAGAAUGAUGAGAUGGGGAGACACAAAUGAAUAAAUUGACUUUAAACACUUUUUCACACGUUUCCCUUCUGUUUCUCUCGAAAUUAUCGUAUAUUGAGCUCUCCUUUAACACUAUUUACGUUUUUUUACAAUCCGAAAAAUCAGUAUGAUGAGAUAUUCUAAAUAUAUCACUACAUUAUAUUUUAUAGUGAGUCAUUGUUGGAAUGCCACACUACGCAUAAGCAGGGAUAUCUUCAUUGGUUAUUUAAUAUUCUUAAGAUUGUGCACUUAUUAAAAAAUAGUAUUUGUUAAAUUUAAACAUAAUGAUGUUUGCUAAAUAUCAACAUGCAAUACUUUAAUUUGUAGGUCAACAACUUUCAAAGUAAACAGGAAGUCCGAGGGGCUACAUGUGAUCGGGGAGAGAAACGAUCUUUUCCAUUUUUUUCUGUAAACUCUGUUUUGAGAAUCUUCCUCCAAUUCAGGGAGACCUCAAUUUUUGAGCUAAUUAUCAUUAUAAUAAACACUUAAAAUGUGACAUUUAGUAUAUGAUAAUAGUCUUCCAUUAAAACUAAUUUUGUGUACCAACAUAAUCAUUGUAAUAGUUACAAAAAAUUAAAUGUUGCAUUUUUUUGUAGUUUAAACCUAUUUAUUCAUGAAAUUUUACAAUAUUUCAAAAUGUAGGAUUUGGAAACAAGCUUCACACAGUUUACAUCAAUCAUAUUGCUAUUUUAUAAGUACCUGUAUCCCUGUGAUGAGAGAUUAACUGGGAACUUUAUCAAUGGAAAUUUAAAACUGAAUAGAUUUUCUAGUCCUAACUUCUUAAAGAAAUAAAUUAAAAAUCUGUACUGUCACAAAAAAAGGAAAAUGGCCUAGCUGCAGUUCAGUCAUACACUAUUAAGAUUUCAAAAAUAUUGUAUUUGUUGUUAAAUGAAGAAUUCAACUAGUUAAAUUUUAGAUAAUUAACUAUCAACUUUUAAUUGAAUGUUUAGUUUAGAGAUGCGAUCUCUUCCAUUGGUCUAAAUUGAAUCCUAACUAAAGAACGAAAUUACAUUAAACAACAAUUGAUUCCAAUAGUGUCAACCUUCCACAUGUUCUAGCUGUUGUUUUUUUUUAUGCCCCACCUACGAUAGUAGAGGGGCAUUAUGUUUUCUGGUCUGUGCGUCCGUCCGUCCGUUCGUCGUCUGUCCGCUUCAGGUUAAAGUUUUUGGUCGAGGUAGUUUGAUGAGUUGAAGUCCAAUCGACUUAACUUGGUACACAUGUUCCCUAUGAUAUGAUCUUUCUAAUUUUAAUGCAAAUUAGAGAUUUUACCCAAUUUCACGGUCCCUGAACAUAGAAAAUGAUAGUGCGAGUGGGGCAUUCAUGUACUGAGGACACUUCUUGUUUUUUUUAAAAAAGACCAGUCCACAGCGCAGACAAAAUUAUAUAAUAAGCUGGUCAGCAUUGUAUACUGCUUCAAUUGCCUGUUUCAUAAAUAAAACUUAUUAUAACUGGUACCAUAUCAAAAGAUUGGCAAGUUUACCACCUCCUUUUUUACCCCACGGUCUUAACAAUUUUUUAAGACCUUCCUAAUUUUAUUCCACGCACUUAUUCUUAUAAUUUGAUCUCCGGUUUCAAAGAGCAACAAAAAGUUAAUUAAUUCUUAAUCAUCUGGUAAUAUGAUUUUUUACAUAACCCUAUCAUAGUAUAAAAGCAUUGACCCAUUGACUUACAUAUAGUAUAACUAUAACUAUGUGCUAUAAUAAUCUCAGUUUGAGUCUCUUUUUAAAUUCUCUUUAUCUGUAUACACAUCAAAUUUGAAGACUUCAUAGAGGAAAUCGAUUAGAUUUUAAUUCAAUGUAUUAAUUUUGAGCGUGAUUGAAUAAUUUGUCAUAAUCAAAGUCUAAUGAUCUACACAUCUAUAUGCCAGGCAAAUUGAUUGUCAUUACACUUAGGUGCCAAAUGUCAUAAUUGUAAGGAGCAGUCUUGACCUUCGUAUUUGAUGUCAUUUACACACUUAUCGCUAAUUGCAUUUCCUUAUUUACCUGAAAUGUCAAUCAAAUCUGUGAACAGGUAUUGUUGACAUUAGUUAGUAAAUUUGCUAGUUUAACCAAUAGCCUUUGACUAACCUGUAAGGAUAGGUGACACUUUCGUGAUCAUGUCAUACACUUAUGUAUGAAAUAAUUGGCAAAGAUCAAUUAACAACAUGAUGUAAGAAAGUGCAGACACUGUUAUAUAUGUUUAAUCGUAGACUGCUAUCGUUUGAUCCAAGGUUAAAUGUUCAAAUAAGCUGAAAAUUAUAUUAAAAAAACUUUAAAAUGUGGGAAGAGAAAAAUUGAAAUAAGAUUAUUUUAUUCAUAUUUUACGAUCUGUGGUUAUAAUUAAAAUUGAUUUUGUUCUUUUAAAAUUUAUGACAUAUAAGUACUCGUAAUAUUUGAUUGACAUAACAACUGUAUAUAUAAUCUAAACUUAUUGCUGUUGAAAAUUGAAAAACUUAAUAAAAUGACAUAGCAAAAAUUCAAUCAUUAUAUAAAUUGUAUUCACAAUAAUUUGAUAUUUGAAAGUGCAUGGAUUAUAUGUAAAACCUUUCCAUCAUUGUUUAUGGUUAAAUGUGUUGGGUUGGAGACAGGCUGAUUUAGCCGACUUAAUAAAUUAUUAAUAUAACAAUAACAAAUCCUGCUAAGUUGAUCUCCUUCUCAUUUCAGUUUGGAAAUUUUAUAAAUCAAGUAAAUUCUUGCUUCAGCACAAAUCAAUUUAUGUUCUAUUGAGUAAACUGUUUUUGAAUGAUGUUUAUGAAGUUCCGGAGUAACCUUGGAAUAGGAUAAUGGAGUAAUAAAAGUACAAGAUGCUGUCGUCUGCUAAUGCAUGCACUAAUCAUAAAUAUCAAAUAUCCGUACAUUAAUUAGGAGAAAAUUUCAAAAGAAAUUAUUAAGUGUAAAAUCUUAGAAUAAGUUUUGAUGAAACUACGUGUCUAAGUAGAGAAUGACUUUCACAACACUAAAAUUGUUGAAGUAGCUCAUUGUGGAAGUUUUGCAUUCUAUAGAAGCAAUUGGUUAUGAUUUCUAUCAAUUUUUAUUGGGUCUCUGUAGAUACAAUUAAUGUUGUUUCCUGAUGGUGUUAUUAGGGGUGAAGGAAAGGUCAGUGGUAGCUUCUUUAAGGAAAAAUGACUAUAACAAUAUUGGUUGUUAGUCAGUAUUGAAGACUUAGAUGAACACUUUCAACAUUAAAAAGGUCAACUCUUUUUCUUAUCCUUUCAACAUCCUCAAGUUUUACAAUUGUUAGUUUUGGAUUCAAACCUAUUAAAUUAGAAAAAUAUAAUGAUUUUGUUUAAUGAAAACUUAAAGGUCAUAACCUUUUUGACAUGGGAAAAGUUGCACAUUUUCUGCCUGACAAUUCUUGUUUCCUCCACUUGUCAUCUGUAAUUACUUUGUGUCCUGUUAAUUGGAGACAUUUCAGAGGCCAAUAUUUCACCAAAGAGAGAUCAUUGAAUGAAUGAAUGAGGCAGGAAAUUGUUUGAUUGUGCUUCCUGUGAAGUUUUAUAGUGGUCAGCAAUGAUUUUGAUCAUUUGAGCUUACUGACCAACAGAGGUGGUCUGAUAGAUGACUGCCAUGAUGACCCUGUAAAUCAAUUUGUGUUGGACUAGGUGAUGACCAUGGCUAGCAGCUGUCAGAUUUAUUACUGGUCAGAUCUUGUUAUCAUGCCCAAUAGCAAGGAAUGCUAUAUAAAAGUCUUCCAGGAAUUUUUAUAUAGUUUUUAAAUACUGUUUUGUUGUCAUGAUCUUUUAUCAAUGCUCAUUAUUGGAUGGUGAAAUAUCUACAUGUACAUCCAAAAUAUUUUGGCAACUUGUUAGUAUGUAUGAUAGAUAUAACAAAGUUCACAAAUUUGUUGCAUGUAUACACAUUUAAUUUUAUAUUAUAUAAAUUUAAUUAUGGAUUGAAUUCAUUGGUAAAAGCCAGAGAACACAGCGAAAAAAAGAUUAUAUACUUGUCAAUUGAAAUUUAGUAACUCACAGAAGAUUAUAUACUUAUUAAAUUUUACUUCAUUUUUAUAACAACUCUAUAAAAAAAAAUGCAUAUACAGGGUCUUUUUUGUUGUUGAUGAGACAGCUAUCUACAUUAUACAUUAACAAAUAAGUCACAUAGCUGAGAAGGGACCUAAAGUUUUUAAUUUCUGUGUCAUUGGAGAUGUUGCAACAGUCUUCAACAAUAGAGCUGGUUAUAAUUGUACCAUCUAGAUCGCGAACUUGAAACUUUUAUUGUACAGUAUUUUAAAGUACAUUUAAAUUUUACUGUUUUAUAUUUAAAGUCUAACAAAUAAAAGGGCAAUUGAUCAAAAUAAAUUUAAAAAAACAAAUUGCUUGGCAAAUGCACAUUUAAUGCAAUUCAAGACCUUGUCAAUCAAAUUGUAGACUCCAAGCGACCUCCUGGAUCACAGACAAAUUUGUCAGCUCAAUAAAGGAUAUUUAUCAAAUUUUGAUUGAUUGCAAAUUAUUGACACAAUAGAAAGUUAUAAAAUUGUUUGUCAAUCUACAAAAGUCUUCUAUCUUGAUAAAAAUAUGAAAAGAUAACACCAUAGUUUUGUCAACAUAAUAACUAAAACAUCUGAAAGAAAAAAGAGGCGAUCGAUUCUCUGUUGAGAGGUUCAUCGACUACAAGUGUUUGGUAAUUACUAAGCACUUGCUACCUUUGAUACUAAUUAUAGGUCAAGGAAUCAGUUAUGAUUUAUUAUGUGUUAUGAUUUGCAGAAAUAUAGUUGUCUGACAUUUACCAAUAAUUUCUACCUGACUUUUAGGGGGUCUGUGAGGUAAAUACCCCCUGGCUUGAGUAGGAUAUUGGACAUUUUCAUAUCCCACUUGUCUGUUGGCUUGUCUAUUGACUUGAAAAUCUAUUCUCAAGAUUAUUGUAUUUGGCAUUGAAAUUUCACUUGGAGAGUUUCUUUUUAUGUUGUAGAUAAAUAAGCAAUUGUAAAUACAAUAUAGUGACAACGUUUUAAUAUCUCUAUUUAACAGUUUAGAUUUUUAUGGCAGUUAACACAUAGAGGUGGAAAGUUUGUUGAUACCUGUAGCAUGGCAGUUUUGUUUAAGUGUCUAAAAGAGUUACCAUAAUUCACAAUUUUGUUCAGACUUUGGGCAAUUUAGAGCUAAAUACACGAUUAUUGACCUUCAUAUGAAUUGCUCCCCUUUUUGAAAUUAUUGUUUAUGUUGUAUUAAACGUACAAAAGCAAAGUCUAUACAUAUAUUGGCUCUCAUAGCCAUGAAGUGGAUUUAAAAUGAAUAAAUAAAUCAAUAUGCUGGAUCAUCUAUUAAAGACACUAUGUUUUAAUAAGAUUGAGAAUGGAAAUGGAGAAUGUGUCUGAGACAACAAGUCGAUCUGAAGGUCACCAAUAGUGGUCCGAGUACACAGUUAUUUCGUAGUGCAUUUCUUUUAGACAAUAAAUGAAAAUUAAAAAAAACCCACCUGCGCUUUCUCAAUAAUAUUUUUACAGUGUGUUGUACUACUUUUGGGACAAAUUAUAUCAAAAUUAUAGAAAACUUCAUCAGCUCUAACUCAAAAUAUGGACAAUCUUAUGUUAAGGGGGUCUUGAAAUCUUUUGACAGCUUCCGAAGUGCUAAUUUUUGACCUUUUUCAGCUGGACCUAAUCACUACUUUACAUUAAUAUUUAUGACCCAACUUUUUUUUACAGUGUCAUUUCACCCCCCAACUUGCUAUAUGAGGCAUAAAACAUGGAGAAAUAAAUUUGGAAGGGGUAUAACAAAAAUUGGCAAGUAACACACUGUCCACACUAAGGACUAUAUUCGUGGACAACGAAAAUCAAAGGACGAUAACUGUGUACUCGGACCUAAUAGGAUAGAAAAAGUUGACCAAUCUUAAUAAAACUUGGUAUGACUAAAGCUUAAUAUAUUACAAGACUGCUUACAAAGUUUCAUAGCAAUAGGAUAUAUAUUAUAGACAAUAUGAUUAAUUCUAUAUUCAACUUUGCGUGUUAAAUUUAGACGUUAAAAUUGAGAAAUUUCAACUAUCAACAUUUGGGGCUUAUAAAAUUUAAAUAUUGCAAAAAAAUACUUUUAAAAUGCCUUAAUAUAUAAUAUAUCAUGUAUUUAAAGCAAUAGAGUACUCAUUUGUUAUAUCAGACUUAGCAUAAUUUUUCAAAAGUCAAAUUUAUAUGAGCCUGUGCCUAAAAAUGGAGGUUUUCCAAUGAAGCGGGCCUUACAUGAAGAUGUAAUAUUUUCCAGCAAUUUUAAAGUUUGUGAAGCUUUUUGAUUAUAAAUAAUCCUUACAUAUGUACUUAAUGUACUUUAAAUGGAAAGAAAACUUACAAAUAACAUAUCAUAUUAGUUUAAAAGGGUCUUAGGCCAAGUAAGACUAAAAUUAAUUUAGGGUCAAUUUAGGCCGUAGCACAUAUUUACAUUUAAAAAUGCAUAUUGAAGCUAUAGGAAAUAAAAAUUUUGUGUCUUUUCUAUCAUUUCUAUACUCAGGUGACAUGAUACAAUAAAUCUGAGCACAAAAAGGCUCUUACAUUCAACUUUUUUAGUAGACAGUAUGGUCUGAUACAAAGAUUUUUCACUUUUUAGUGAAAAACUUGCAUGCAAUUUUAGUCUCAACAGGCUUAUAUUUGAACCACAUGCUAUCCUACAGAGGUAAAGAAAGAUAUUAUGUGAAAUGAAACAGGUACAAAAGACAUUGUUAAGUGCUUUUUAUACAAAUUUAUUGAGGUAUUUAUUAUGGACUUCAACUUUUAUGUGCCAUGCUCCUCACAUUUAACUUGAUCCAAACAGGGCGUUAGACGAGGGUCAUUUAUACAACACAUUUUGCUCAUAUUUUCUGAGAUAAUCUUCUUUUCUGUAGAUUCAGAGUUCACAAAUGAGUAAUAAAACUGGAUUAAAGCAUAGAAACACAAAAAUUGACACAUGAAAACAUGUCAGAUAGAAAGUCAGAAUGCCACUUAUGCAUCAAAAUUGAAAAAGCUAUGAAAUGCUUAUUUUGACCAUAUAAUGCCAAAAUUGGUCAUUUUUGCAGAAAUUCUAUCAAAUAAAAGUUUAAAUCCUUUAGUUUUAUGCUAUUUGACAAAUUGGCACCAUCAAAUCAUUCAGGGAAGUUGCCAAAGUACAGAUUCUAUAUUUCCUGAUUUCACCUCUUAGGUCCGAGUACACAGUUAUUUCGUAGUGCAUUUCUUUUAGACAAUAAAUGAAAAUUAAAAAAAACCCACCUGCGCUUUCUCAAUAAUAUUUUUACAGUGUGUUGUACUACUUUUGGGACAAAUUAUAUCAAAAUUAUAGAAAACUUCAUCAGCUCUAACUCAAAAUAUGGACAAUCUUAUGUUAAGGGGGUCUUGAAAUCUUUUGACAGCUUCCGAAGUGCUAAUUUUUGUUUUUCAGCUGGACCUAAUCACUACUUUACAUUAAUAUUUAUGACCCAACUUUUUUUACAGUGUCAUUUCACCCCCCAACUUGCUAUAUGAGGCAUAAAACAUGGAGAAAUAAAUUUGGAAGGGGUAUAACAAAAAUUGGCAAGUAACACACUGUCCACACUAAGGACUAUAUUCGUGGACAACGAAAAUCAAACGACGAUAACUGUGUACUCGGACCAGGUCUUCAACACAGGGGGAAAAUCCUGCAACCGGAAGCAGACUUCAGCUGGACCUAAACAGAAUGUAUACUAGUUUAAACCUAGAAAAAUUAAAGAUACAGAUUACAUUGAAAAUCUUUGCAAAUUCUUAUCAGUAAUGAAUUUUUAGAAAAGUUACUUUCAAAGCAUUUGAUAAUAAGACAGGAAAUCUUUGUAUGUUUGCGAUUUGGAAACUGGAAAUUCCAAAAGGAAAUAAUAUUAAUUUUCAAAAGGUGCAGUGCAACAAGUAUUACUGUUAGAAUUCAGUUUUUAGAUUAGUUGGUCAGUCUUUUACCUUGAAAAUAAAUAAACAAAAACCUACACUUGUUUCCUCUUAAUCAACAGAGGUGGGCGAUACCCUGAAAACCCAAGUAAACAAUGAAACCUUCUUGGCAGGAGAAAAAUAAAAACAAAACAAAACAGAUACAUGUCAUGCUAGUAACUCAUUUAUGAAUCAACUAAAACCUGACUUAACCUUUCUGUAUUAUCUUCAUAUCUACCUUGUUAAAUGAGAUAAGUCUUUUCAUAAAAUAUAAUAAUUAUGUCAAAAGCCGUUAUUUAUCAAGGCUGUCAUCAGAUAUAUGAGUGGGAUAAUUAUACCACAAUAUUACCUCUGUUGUUCAGGCCGAAAAUUUACUAUUUUAGUUUCUUAUUCAGAUUUAAAUUAGUACUUUACAGAUUGGUUUAUCGAAGAUUUAAAUUUGUUAUGUUUUUCCAUGUGAAAAAUCGGUAAUGUUACCUUAAAGAAAUCAAAUACUGCAAUAGCAAAAAAAAAAGAAUAUUGGUCGAUGUGAUCUUAGUAUCUUUUAAACUUGAUCAGUAGAAAAAAAUAGAGAUAAUAAAGGCACCCAGGUUCAUCUUCCACAUGAUGGAUAAGUUUUAAAUGUCCAUGAAAUUGUAUUAUUUAGUUAAAUUUGCAAAAAGCUUUAUCAGCUGUGAAACUGUAGCUGAUAUGAACUCUGUAUGCUUUAUAUACCCAUACUUUAAAAGUGUAAGCUGUAUUGAAAUCAUCUUGUCAAUCUAUACUCCUAGUUGUCCAGCAAAAUCUGUAAUUCAUAACAGAGUGACUUAAUAUUACGUCUGGAGCUUAAUGAUGAUGAUGAUGUAAUAUUUGAGCAUAUUGGAACUGUCGGCCACCUUCUUUCUUUUUGAAGAUACUUUUUUAUUAAUUUUUUUUCAAUAUACUGAAUGAACUCUUUAUCAAGCUUUCUCAAAGUUCUGAUGAACAUAAAAACUGUAUGUUUAAUUUGCAGCUUAUCUUGUUAGCAUUUUCUGGAUCUAUUAGACAGCUUAACUUCCUGAAAAAUAUAGAAUUGUUUGAAGUUAGUUUAAGGGUAAGGCCUGUAACACCACUUGGUUUGAUAGGUCAGUUUGUGACUUGCUUUGGUCAAAAAUAAAAGAGGACAUACUGCAAUAAGUGUGUUACUUAGUUACUCACUGGAUAUUACUGGUAGUAGUUUUUCUAGAGCAUUCCCUCUGUGACUGUCAUAUAUUAAGCAAAUGUGAUGUAAAACCCACUCAAUCAAUUGAAUUAAUCAUAUUUGUGUGCAGGCUAUAAAACCUGGGAAGCAAUUAUAGUUUAUAUAUGUAUGUCUAUCUCAACAUAAGAUGCCACUUUAUUCUAAGAAAAAUCUGAAACUCUUUUGCAAUAAUUUUUAUCCUUUCAGGUGAUUCCCAGAAAACCCAGUUCAGAGGUGUGAUGGAUUUGACUCUUAAAAAAGACCUAUAUUUGUAAGAAAAUUAAUAAUUCUUAAUAUAACAUCAAUGUCUCUUAUUUGACAAAUCUUUGGGUGAUCUGGAGUUAUAGCCCUUCAUUGCUUUAACAGGGUCACCUAUUAAAGUAAGAAAAAAAAAACGAAUUCUUUCAUUUGACAGCCUCUUACUAGGGAAUAAAUUAGGUCAUUAAUAAAAAACUACUGGUCAAUCUUGAUCUGACUUGUAUGAUAUUUUCACUUUUAGAUUUAAAUACAUAUCAUAUGUAAUAUAAAGGUAACUCAAUGUAGUUUCAAAAGGAAAGAAUAAUAAAUUCCCUUAACCAUAAAUAUUAGUUUAAUAAUUACAUUUGCACUAUCAUGACUGUAAGGUUAUUGUAUGUACUCAAAACAACUAGGAAAUAUGAUUGACAGAUAAUAAUCCUUUGAUAUUGACAACACACAAUUGAUAGAAAAAAACAAUUGGCAGACACAAUAAUACACCUCCACUAGCAAAUAACCACUAUUACCUGCUAAAAAGAGGAGAUAAUUAACAUUAACGAGCUUUCAAUUAGCUCCCAACAGCAAUUAGGCCAAGACAAAAUAAGCCUUUGGUUAACAGACCUCUUGUAUAUAAUCGUUAGUUUAAAAUACCAUUAAGAUUGGCGAAAUCAUUUAGUCCAUAUUCUUUUUAUUAAUCGAGAAACUUUUUAUUGGAUGUGAACUUGUGCUGCAGUUUAUUUUUACACAAAAAAAAACAUGUACUAAGCUUCAGGUAAAAAAGCAUGUUGCCAAUACUUAUAAAUAAAUAAAUGAAAUAUGAUGUUGUCUAUAAAUUAAAUCAAUUGUUUACUUCCUGGUGCACUUGUUCUUUGGGUAUAUUAUAUUAUUCUAUAUUUAGAUUCAUUAUUUUACAUUAUAGUAUCCUCAAUCAUUAAAAUAGCAUUGUUCUUUUUGUUGCUUUCAUAUUAAUUUGAAUCACUAGCCAGUCAACACUGAGACUGUAAGUUCAAACCCAUACAGGUGCACUCAACUCCAAUCUUAAUUGACUAGGUCAGAGACAUAUAUACACAAAUAUGUCUCUGACUAGGUCAAUAAUAAUAAUAAUUAUUGUCAAUUUUUUUAUCUGAGGUCGUGGUUUUCUCCGUGGAACUCCAGCUUCCUCCACCAAUAAAAAAUGGCUGUCACAAAUAGCCAAAAAGCAGUGCUUAAAGGUGGUAUUAAAAACACACUAAAUAGAAAAAUAUCACAUCAUAUUUAUUUGGUUACCUUGGCCUAAUGUUGCCUCAUGCCUCGGUAGUAAUUUAUGUUUACUUGCAUAAACAUAGUAAUUUGGUGCAAUUUACAUAUAAAUAAACAUGAUGUUUAAAAAUGCGUUAAUUACUCAUUUCUACCUAUAGUAUUAUUAAACCAGGUAGCUUUAAGAGAAAAGACAAGAUUUGUAUACAUUUCUUAUCAAUAUAAUCUUUAUGAUUGAAAAGAUAAUAAUUGCAGGUGUAUUUUGAAGGAUGAUUUCAUAUUUAUAUAAUUAGGACUAAGAUAUUAGUCUACUUAAAAGAAGAUCGAGUUUCUAACUACUAAUUAUUAAGUGAUUCUCAAUUUUCUAAGUAUACACGAUUAUGAAAUAAUGUUAGUGUUCCAGGUGAAAAGUGUCAAUUAUGACAUUGCACGUUUUUAAUGAUUUAUGGAUGUUAUAAAUGGCUAGUGUUUCAUACUUUUAAUUUUGUAUGAGGAAGAAUCACAAUAAGUCAAUAUUUCCUUUUAUCUUCAAAAAAGGUUUUAAGGCGGAUAUAUAUCCUUAUAUGUAGAUGUCCUGACCUGUGUCCUUGGAAUUUAAAUAGCCCCUGAUGUAAGCUAUAAAUUUCCAACUGGGGCGUAUAUAUAUAUAUAUUUUUAUUAAGAUUUUAUAUUUAUAGAAUUAAUACCAUUAGUUGCUGAAAAGGACUUCGACCUGAUUAGAAGACCCGUUGAAAUAGUGCACCAAGACCUCUUUCAAUCUUCUAUUAUAAUGUAUUGGCCAUAGGAUUAUACCCCUCCUGUUUCAUAGUUGAACAUAACUGUAAAAUUUAUUCAAAUUUGAAAUUUAUUAUUAACAUUUAAAGAAAAAAAAAUCGUGUUUUAUUGUUAUUCAUUUACCAAACCACAGUGGCAGGUGUCGUCACAAUAAAACUGUAAACUGUAAAGAUUGCCCAUUAUUCAUGUUCUUAGUAGAUUUAAGAUUAAAUCGUCAGUUUUAAUAAUUUAGUAUGCUUUGAACAUUUUUGAACUUUCAAAUCUUUUAUAUUGAAAUAGCUUACCAUUGAUGUGGAUAUACAUAAAAGUAAAUAAAAAAAAAAAUCUGAUUAUAUUAUGAUGAAAAAUUUGCAGAUUUGUCGAAUAGCUUAUUUCGAGAGUUUCAAAUUGAACUGUUUGUCCUUCACAUUGAACUGAAUGCUUUUUAAACAGACCAAGAUCAAUUUUCAAUAAAAUCGUCUGUUUUUUUUACAGUUCAGUUGGGACUUCAGGGAUUAAUUUUAUGAAAAAAAGAAGUUAAUGUAGUCAGCACCUUGAAAUUUUGCAUGCUUUAUUAAUUACAAUUGGAUGAAACAGUCAUGUAAUCACUCUUUAAUUGAUCUAUGUACUAAAUUACAUAUCACACAGCAAACAUAGGUAAAAAUUUGUUACUCAAUCUCUCUUUUAUGAGGAGUGUUGGUUAACAUAUAUAUAAUAGUAAUAAGUCAACCAGUGCUGAAAUUACCACACAUUAUAUAGAUCACCGAUACAUUGAAUAUUUAUUAUCUAUAGCGCUGUUGCAAAUGUAUUGUCAACAUGUUUUCCGAACCAGUGAAAAAAAUAAAGGAAAUCAACAAACUUGUUUUGUUAAGAUUCAUAUGUCAAAUUAGUUCAAUUUCAUUAGAAAGCUGAGGAUGGUUUGCUGCACUGAAGCAGUCAAAAUAUUGAUUGCAGUGUUUCGAGUGAAUCCGGAAAGAUUUUUCCAAAGAUGUGAAGUGAGACCGCUGAGGCAAACGAAAUUGUCACAAGAUGAAUAGCUAGUAAUUCUUUGGCAUCCUUUAUCUGCAGGGUUCAGAAAAAUAGAUCUGUACUGUUCAAUUAUUAUAAUCUUUAUUUCUCAAAUAAAAAUUGCAUGUUAGUAAUGUAGAAGUGAAUAGAUCAAAAGUUUUAUAUUUAUGUAAAUUUGAACGAUUAGUAUUAAUUGGGAGUAUUCAAAGUGCAUACUGAGUUCUAGUGACAUUGUUGAGGUUUAAUCUGGCUUAAUGGCAAUGGACUUUGUUUUAUCUUUCCCAAUUGUCUGAGGUUAUGUUUUUCAACUUGAAAGUGAAUUUUAUAAGAUUUAUAUGAAAUUUAUUCAACUGGAAAAUUAAAUAAAUAUUAAUAUUUUUUGAGACAGUUGUUUUGCAGUAUUGAAAGAAAAAACGUUUAAAAAAGAGUCUGUAAAGGCAAUUAGUAAUUCUGUGAGUGAUCUAAGCUGAAAAAUAUCAAUUUUAUUCCUGAUUCUAUUUGUUUUUCUCAAGUCUUGUUUUUCAUCUAUCAAAUUAAAGCCAGCUGUACAUGUAAGGAAAUGAUUUCGAUAAAACUUAAUUUUCUUAUAUUUGCCUGCAGGAAUUGAUUGGUAUAUAUUACUGAGGGAAGACUUUUAUGGUACGACAGAGUUGAUUGAUCUGACGAACAUCAGGGUCAUUUAAGGAGACAUUGGUCAUUGGCCCUAUCUUUAUUGACAUAACAUUUGGUUGAUAAUGGAGUUUUUCUCUUAAAUAACAUGCCUUUUAAUUUUAUGUCCAGUGGAUAAACUAGGUAUCUAUUUUAAAAAUGUAUAUAAAAUCACAGAAAUAAAUUAACUGUAUAAAGCUCUAUUUAUAUAAGCUGUACAUUGUGAAGCCUUUCCUGAUAAGAUGACAUUAGAAUUUAGGGGGAAAAAUGAUUAUCAUAAUGGAUGCAGAUGAGACAACACCCCAAAAUAAAACCAAAUGUACUGUAUAUCAAAUGUCUUCAGUGACUUCACUAGUGAUAUUGCAUAGCCAAGGUUAAAGCUGCAUUUUUGCAAUUUAAAAUGCAGGUGAUUUCUUGAACAUGAUAUAAAUUGAGGAUCCUAAAUUUUUAACCAAAAAAAAGGGAGGGAGGUGAUCGACAAAUGAUCAUUCAUACUACAUAUCCUAUCAUACAGGUUUUAAUAGAGUGCUUAAUGGCAUGCUUUCUCACUAUUAAAUAAUUAAGUUGAAAUUAAGAUGGUAAGGACUACCAUAUGAUUUCCAUAGCUCAUUGGGCCUUCUGAAUUACCUGUUAAAUACCUGAAAAUCCCUUUCAUGCUAGACUUUUAAUUUCCAUAAAGGAACUCAUUAGGCCUACUAAACUCCCUGAUAAAUACCAGAUAAUGCCUUCCAUAUUAGCAAUUUCAAAUGGAUAUAAGAGAAAUACUAUGACCUUUUAGCAAAUGAUUGAUUUAAGUUCUGAUGGACCUGUGGCUAAAAAUAUUUAUAUGAAGUAGAGGUUUAUUAGAAUAAUGACUAUGAAGUCUUAUCAGCAGUGAAUCUAUAAACUUGUAUUGAGUAAAAACCUUAAUUGGUAAAUUGCUGACUUUAGUAAAUGAUUUUUUUCCGGCCUACAUACUGAUGACAAAAUUAGGUUUGACUGUGCUACUUUCAUUUAAUUUACAUCAUGACGUACAUACAUGAUUUUUAUAACAUUUGACUUUUUUAAUUGAAUAACAGAUUUUCAUGCUAUUAUAUAUGAGUGCUGUAUAUUCUACACGAUUACAGUUUUUGUAUUGAAUGUUACACAAUGUUUGACGUAGAUGUAAAUGAUAACAGUAAACAGUUGUAAAGGUCGUUGUCACAUGUUGCUUGACAUGUGAAAUUGUAAUUACAGAAUUAGAUAUCUUAUUAAUGUGUCCGAUUUUAGUAAAAUAUGGAGAGUGAUUAUUGGGGAUUAACCCAACAGUAAAAGUAAAUCAGCAUUACUGUGAUUGAUAUCAAGUAGCUUCAAUUUAUGUUGUUUACUUAUCUUUAUAAUAUCCAAGAUUGUAGCGUGUAGGCACCGAUAGUUCAUUCACUUGGUGUUUUUAGCAUAAAAUGUCAAGAUAUUAUUUUUUAAUGUAGAUAUUGACUUAGUUAGUACAAGUAAGGUCACAUUUUGCCAGUGGGCUUAACCUUUUAGGAUAUAGACUUGGAAAUGUAUAGAUAUAUUUUAAUGUAUUUUUGUUUUUUAAUCAAGUUGAGAGGGUUCUGAUUGGUAUUGUGAUAUUGGAGAAAUAAAGUUACAUUUGGAGGAUUGAGGAAACAGACAAAACAGACUAGUGUCAAAUUAGGUUCACAGUAUGAAUAAACAUGACGUGGUUGGUCUCUUCAAAUCUCUACGAAUUUUUGAAUAAUAAUAUAAAGGAAAAAAAUCCACACAAAAGCAUUCUUGAUAGUUUCUGAUGUUUGUUUUUAAGGUUGAUUUUUUUCUCCCAAAGUUCUAACAAAAGUUCCUUUUUUUAUCAUUGAGACAUUGAUCUAUGUUGUAUUUCACCUUUUAUAUUUUAACCUUGUCAAUAAAUGUUUUAUCAGGAUCAGGUCAUUUACACAAGCCGCAGGCUAUACAAUUGUAAUCUUUUUUAAAGAACUGUUAAGUCAUUUCCUUUGAACGUAGAAUCUUGUUAGUAUAUGCGGGGAUAGUGUAAUUACAUACAUCCAUGUACAUAUUGCACACCCUAUAUUAUUAUGUAUGCCUGUCCGCGAUAAACUUUCCUUUGACUUUGUAAUUGGGUCGCAUGUACGGCAGGUUUAACACUUCUGAUCUAUUAAAAACAAUAUCUUAUACACAUGGGUAAACCCCUCUUUAAGCAUGGUUAGUAUAAUACAGGUAUAUAAUUACUCUGUAUUGUGCGCUUCAUGUUGAGCGUAAACGUUAAAUUAACAGUGGCUUUUAUGGCAAAUGGGUCUGCUGACGAUUUAUGUUUUCCGAGGUAGAAAAUUUCGGAAAACAUCAAUUAUGUAUUGUAACAUAUAUCAGACAAAAGUAUUGAUGUCUGGGACCAUUGACACGCAGGAUGUCUAGAUAUAUAUAUACCUUUAAUGUUACAUUCAAAUGUCAGUUUUUGAUGACAACUAAGAUAGGUAAAUAAACAAUCGGUAGCAGUGUUAAAAUCCACUGCAAAUUAAUACCAGUCCGUAAUUAAUACCAGUUUGAGAUGGGGGGUCAUCUAGGUUGUUAAUUACUUAUUUUUCAUGUCUGUUUUAUAAACACACAGAAGAUAUGUACUAAGAUAAUUGUGAGUACAUAUAUUAAUAAUAAAAGGUUCACUAGUUCAUUUCUCUCAAGAAGAGGUGUUAAUGACCAGUGCUGAAGUACCUGUAUAGCAAGAUUCAGAUAUUUAAAGUCUGUGAAUUGUCAAGAAAUAUUGCUUUAAGAAGAAAAGAAAAAAAUCUUGCAUCACAGAGUUUGAUUGACUAUUUUGUCUCUUGGGAGCUUUGAAAACUAUCUGUGAGACAGGUUUUGAGUCAUGAAAAUUACUCAUGUUGACUCAAAACACACACAUUUGAUCCUACAAAUUAACUUUGAUGGCUGCUAACUUCAUUACAAUGGAAGCUGAAGAGUUGAAUGAAACUCUAUGAAUGCAAAUUUAAAUGUGAAGACUUGCAAAUGCAAUUUUUUUGUUGUUGAUAAAAAAGUGAAUGACAUGGGGAACUUUUAUGGUUUUGAAUUAUAGCUGCUGCUGUUCUAAUCAUUUGACAUUGAAAAAAAAGUUUACAGUAAAUUAAAUGUGCAAAACUGUUCCAAGAAAGUUAUAAAAGAGAUGCAAGGUAUUUAAAAUAUUGAUAACAAGAAGUAGAGCUCAGACUGAUAAUUUUACAUAAUUUGCCAUGUUAUAUCUUAUUUUUAGAAACUACAAUUGGCAAGUCCUGCAUUUAACAGCAAGAAUGUCCUGAAGUCAUGGUCACAAAUACAGUACAGUAUUCAUUUGAAAUUCAUAUGACAGGGAGGAUGCUUUUAUAUUAUUCAGUGUAUUUUGUCAUGUAUUUCUCCAAACACUGAAUUGAUAGUGUCCUGUCGAGACAGACAUUAUUUGUUAAGAUUUUUUUUAACAUAAAAAGAUAAAAAUAAAUGCUUGUUCUGCACCUUUACAACCUUUUCACCUCGACACUUAAAUCGUUGCCCCUUGUUUAAUACCAGACAGUACUUGAUCACGUAAUUUAAACACUAACCUAUAUGUCAGGUUGCCCUUAUUGACCGUCCACAUACCAUUAAAUAUAAAGACGGUUAUUUUUUAAUGUCUCUCUUAUAGCUUAUUUUUUAUGGUAUCUCUUUAGGCUGCAAGUUUUAAUUAUAUAAUAAUUAAUUGUUUGACCAGUAUUCAUGUUUUUAAGUGUCAUUAUGAUUAAAAUGGUAUUAUCACCUAGCUAUCCUCCUGGAAGUGUUUCUUGUCGAGUUAAUUUCAUAGUCUACCUUGGAUUAAUGAAAUGAGUAUUUUAUAAUUGAUCAAUAGUGAUUGUAUUGGGAUAGAUUGAAUCAUUAGACAACUUUUAUAUUACUCAAUUCUUGGUUAAGGAUACUUAGUUCUUACCUAUCGAUUUUGACAUUUAUAUAUAGAAAAAGUGAUUAAUAAAACGUACUUAGAUAUUUUUGGGAUGAGAAUAACUUUGGCAACCUGGCAAAGUGCAGUUUUUUUCUACUCAAUUAGAUUUUUAUACAGAAUUGUUAUUGGUGCAUCUGCUAUUGAGAUCUGUGAAAAUAUAUGUUGGGAGAUAUUUCUGCAAUAAUAUAUCUGAUUAUUGAAAACCUUGAAAAAAGUAUGUCAAAUAAGUAAUCAGUUGAAGAUAUAAGUAGGUCAAAACUUAACAGGGAUUCCAAUAGAUUUCAAAUUGUUUUAAAAGCAUGUUUGUCAUCUUGUUGUGAAUAAUUUUUAUUUGAUAAUCCUGUUGCAAGCAAUCCAUGUAUUGAUGUAGGAAUUACCACAUAUAGUAAGUGAUAAACUUAGCAGUAGUAGAUGGAGUUUCACGUUUCCAAAAAAAAAAAAGGGAAUUCCAUAUAUAAAAAUCAAUACUAGUAACAGCUGAACAUAACCUUUAAAGACUAUUAUGAAAAUUAUUUUUUUACACAUAUCUGAUAUGAGGCAUAAAUUAAGACCCAUAUUUAGUUACAUUUCUUUUUCCGUUCUUCUCAAAUAUUACAUCAUUAUGAUGUACUAUCAGACAAACCUACGCUGGCAACAUGUGUUGGUGUUAUAUUGAAAAUGACCUUGACAUUGUUAAAUUCAUUUGAUAUUUACAAAUACACGUAUGAAAAAAAAAUAUGAAGUAAAUAGUAUUAAUUUAUGAUGGUUAUCUCCUUGAACUAAUAAAAGGGUGUACUGAUAUUUUUAUGAACAAAUUUAUAGCAUAAAAAUAUUUACGAUUUGCCUGGGAAAUGAUGAAUACAUGACUAGAUUUAUAAUACAUGUACCAUGAAAUACCUGUUUGAUUACAGUUAUAUGAACAGUUAAUGGUUCAACUAGUUAUAAGUACAUGUAUAAACAUUGGGGUAAUAUCGGUGUACAGUUUGGAUUCUGUUCAACUAUGGGUCUAGACUAUUCCAUGUGGUAAUCACAUAUUGUAAAUAUCACACUUAACUUUAGUAUACACAGGUCACAUAAAUAUUAUCAUAUAUUUAUAAUAUUGUUAUUUUAUAAUGAACUGAAUACGAAAUUUUCUAACUGGAUGCAUCUGUCAUCUAAAGAGGAUAACUUAUAUGUUAUGCCAUUAAAAGUCUUGACUGACUGUGAGGUUAUUUGGUAUGAAUCCAAGAAAGUCUAUUCUUAAGAUUAUUGCCCUUUUUGUGUCAGUUGUAUCAAAGGUUAAUAACAUUGACUUGGAUGAAAACCAGUUAAACACCCAAAUUUAUCUACCUGAUGAUUUUUUUUACUGACAAGCUGUUGAAACUUAGUACAUGCAUGAUAUUGUAUACAAUAAUAAACUAAUACAAUUUUUUAUUCGAUUCAUUUCAUGUUAACGUUGAUCAUCUUUUCACAAAUCAUGUCAGUCAUAAGAUGGCAAUAAAAAUUUUAUAUUAUUGGAUAAACCUUAUUUCAUAAUCUUAACCCUUUCCUUAGCCUGGUGACCCUCCAGAAUUGCACUCCUCUUUAAAAUCUGCUUCUUUUUUUUUUCGUGGUCAACUAUAUUUGGUGUAUGGAAACAUUAUUAUAAGGUUAAUUUGACCUUUACCUCAUUAUCAUAGCUCCACUUAUUGAUCAAUAUGUGGAUUUUAAGCCUGUUCUUCAGAUACUCAAUCUGUAUAUAAGGUCAACUAAAUAUGGUGUUGUGUUGAUUAUUGGAAGAUGCUCAUAUCUGUCUGGCAGGGUUCAGUUGACAUUUACCUUAAUUUCAUGGAACUUAAUAAUGUUAAAGUAAAUGUAAUAUCUGUGAAACCUUGAUCUUAAGACUUCCAACAUGUAAUUCAAUUAAAGUACACAUAGGUUAUAUAUCUAAGCAUCACUCUUGUAUAAAGUGAAGUUGAUGUUCAGUCAAACACUAAAGAAAAAUGGAUAAUAAGAAUUGUCUGAUUUAGCUCAUGGUUAGACCAGUCUUGAGAAGGACUAACAAAUAUAAAAAUAAAGAUUUGGAAUGUCAGCAACUCUCCUUAAGAGGCUAAACGACACCAAAAUUAAUAACUAUAAGUCACCCUACAUCCAGUUUGAAAUGGGGAGACAGUUUGUUUUAUAUUUGGUCAUAGAAUUCGAUCCCAUUUCAGUACGUUUUUUUUCAAUGACUCCUCCAAACUGUUAAACAUGGCAGUGUUAAAUUAAAGCUCAGAUUUUCCAGUAAAUGACCUUGUGACAGACAGUUGAAUAUAUCAUAAAAGUCUUCCAUAAAAACUAUCAUGUUGAACCAUUGUAUAAAAAACAUCUGCUCACAGAUUACUACUGUAUAAUUCUUUUAAUUUGAAUGUCCUUUAUAUGUAGAGGUCUGAGUUUUGACUGUACAAAUAAAUAAUGUAUUAAAAGUAAUUAAUUAUUUGAAAUUACUUGAAAUCAAAAACAUUAUGAAACUUAAAAUCAUAUCAUUAUUGUUAUAAAGACCUUAAGAUAAAAUAUCUAUUUGCAAUCCCCUUAUCAUCUGUUAUUUGCUUGUAAAUAGUAUUUUGUCUGUCUAUUAAGUCAAACUAUUUAUAUUUAAUUAGAUCAAUGCUAAUAAAUUCUGUAACACUUCAUAAUUAAGUGGUCAAAAGGUAUAAUUUGUGCACAACAACUGCAUAGAAAGCAUUGUAAAAAAAAUGUUACCCUAGAAAACUUACAAGGAUAUACUUCAUUUCUUGUCUUUGAAGUGUAUUUGAAACUAAACCUUGUAACAUAAUUUACUCCAAACAGCAAAGGGUGUAAAAAUUUGCAUAAUUUUCCAACCUUUCCCAAAUUAUACUUAGAAUUAAAGAGUGAUCAAGUUUGUCAGUGCAUUCCUCUUUAACUGUCUGAUGUGCAUCAAAGGACUACAGUAUCUUUAACAUUGAUAUCACGCUGCGUAUCGAAAUAAGUGCACCUUUUUUUUGUGUUUAAUUUAUCGGCAAGAAAAGAAUUAUAACAGGAUAAUUUUGAAUUAAAGGUAAACAUAUUACGCUAUGAUUAUAUGGCAGAUGACGAGGAACUUCCAGUAUUAGUUAAGGUAGAAUUAAUUUUAAGUUCAUGCCUUUUGUGGAGUUUGGAGGUGGAAUAUAUUGGACUUUUAAACUUUUUUAAUGAACUAAGUAUACUUUGACUCAUUCUGGAACAUACCAGUUGAAAACUUCAGCUUUUCAAUGUUUAAAAUAGACUGCAUAAUGUUUAACAGAAUUUGCAAAAUUCGAAAAAGAAAAUGACAAAUUUAACCAUUUAUCAAACAGUCCCACAAAGUUCUGUUCAACAUUAAAAUCUGUAAAGUUCAUCUCAAUAUCUUACAAUAAUGCACACUGAUGUUCAUAUUUUUGACUUGUUACAAGCAAUAAUAACUGUGGAAAAUGGUGAUGACUUAAAUAUGACUAAAAGAUAAUCAACUCAUAUUUGUCUGUUACAACCUAUGGCAUUCAUUUUUUUUAAGGAAAUAGAGGAUUGAAAAAAAAACCAGAUUUUUUAACAGGCUUAUAAGGUUUUUUUUUUUAUAUUUUAUCAAAGGCAAUAGUUUUAAUUUAUCCAAUACAGACUUCUUGAAUUUGAAUACAUGCACAUGUUUACAAUUACAGUUGACUGUGUCCUCACUAUUUCCUCCUGCAUGUUAGGAUGUACUGCUGGUGUGUACUUUAAACAAAUCUGUAUUAGAUUUGCAUGUGAUUAACAGAUUGUAAUGACACUAUGACAUAAUCAUACAUCUUCCCUCCGAGCUGCAUAUUACCUGCACGAUUACAAAAUUUUCAUUAACAAAAAAAAAGAUUUAUUGUGAAAAUAUCAAUUUUAUAUGCCAAUGGUAUUUCCUAAUCCCUGAUGAAUUCUUAGAUAAAAAGAAAUAAAAUACUGGUACAAAAGACAAAAGAUGAAAUGUCCUUUUUAUGGUUGGUUAUUCCAAAUAUAUUGUUAUCUCAUUUGGCAUUCAUAUAUAUUGUAUUGCUGAAGAUUUUAUAGAUUUCCUUAUCAACGUUGGAUUCAUAGGAAGUGGGUUUCCCGUACCCUUAUGAUGCUGCAACUUAAAAUUUUGGAUUUUCCCUUUUUCCAGUUUGACCUUUACCUUUCUGUUCAUUGAAAUAGUUUUCAUGUUGAUUUUAUACCCUUAGGAUAUAUCCUUCUCAUCAGAUAGGCAGAUUUAAGGAUGUUACAAAAGAAUUUCUUUCAAUAAAUGAUCAUAUAUCUUAACCGUUAGCAAUGUAUUGAUCAACAUUAAUAUUUAGUAACUCCCUGUCCUGAGAUAACAUUCUCCGAAACCCAGCUGACAUCCAACCAAUUUGUCAUCUUAAUGCUGAAGUUACAAUGGCCUUUAUGUUGACGGAUCCCAGGUAAUGAACAAGUUUAUGAUUUUUUUCCAUGCUGUAUAGUUUUAAAGCAAUGGUUGGUAUUUCGGAAUCUUGCCAGACAAUACAUUUGUCAAUGUUUAGUUUUGGAUCACCAUAAUCAGAGUCAAAGGACAUCAUUUAUUUUCUACACUAAGUUCUAGUGACAGUGUUAUUAAAUAUUAAAGUGACAUCUUAGAAAUAAGCAGAAUUCUUUUUUAAAUAAAUAACCAAGAUACUUUUACAUGUACUGAAUUUCAAGGUCAUUUUAUAUAAUUCAGAAUCUCUUACGUGUGCUAGAAUGUACAUAUUAACAUGUCUUAGCUGCAUGUGAAGACUCAAAACAUUAAAUUAUAAAAUCAUUCUGCCUGUUCAUUUUUCAAUAGAUUAUUUUUUUAUAUAUAGAUAUAUUUAUUUUUAAUUUGAUUUUCUAUAGAUCGGCAAUAUUUUCAGAUAUUUAGCACAGUUUAUUUUCAGAAUUGAGCUGUAGAUUAUAUUCAUGACAUUUUUUAAAAGUUAUUGAACUUUUUGCCAAAGGACCUACAUAAAAAUUUGCUUAGAUACAUAAAUAAAUCAUAAGAUCUAUCCUUGACAUGUAGCCUAAUUUGCAUAUAUCCCAUAGUGAUGGUCUUAAUCCUACAAUUAUAGGUCUGUUACCCUAUUAAUCAUUUUGAUGACCACUUUACUGUUCCAAUAUUCACCAAUGGACUUUACAAAUUUUAUUACAUUGUGUUUGAGGUAUCCAUUUAAACCAAUCCCUGUAUUUGGUCAUUUUGGGGUUAUUUGAUCGCAUCAUAAUUGGUUUUGCAAAAUGAUGACCUUUUCAAUCUUUUAAUUUAUUUAGAUGGCAUUUUAAUUUUCAUCCGUUAUUGUAAGGGGUGUUGAACUUUUUAAGUAUAGUGUCUGAAUUUUUUACCUUGUUGAGGAGACCAGGAUAGGAUGUUCUAACACUAGAUUCCCGCUGUUCUAAGAUCCGGUGACUUAUACCGCUCAUCAUGAUACCGAGCUGUAAUUAUGAACUGACAUCGCAAAAAGUAGACCUAUUAAAUGGCUUAUAAAAUCAAGUCUUGUAAUCCAGUUUGGUCUACAUUUGUGACAUGCCCCCAUUGGGAAUUCCUCUUCAAUGAUAUAAUCCUUUCAUUACAUAAAAUAACAGAAAAAUAAAUAAACAAGUAUCUUUCCUGAAAUGCGAACAAAUUGUCCUACUUGCCUUAUUUAAUUUCAAAUUUUCCCUUUUAUAAGAUUUAGAAGUAGUCAAGUGAACAAGAUUUAAAUAUAUUAAAAUUAUGUUUUUUAUGGCCUUAUUAUUUGAAAUACCUGCAUUGGUUUUCAGUAAUCUGAAAUAAUAGUUAAUAUUUUAUCAUUCUAUUUUCAGAUUGUCUAAAGAGGGGUCAAGCUGAUAGUACAACUUUAAAAUGCAGGUAAUAAUAUUUGAUUUGAAGUUAUGCAGUAUUUAAGGAUCUUUGUCAAUUUUACAUAUAUAAUUUUAUUACAAAGAACUUUGCUUAAGAAAUGUAACUAGGUAAUGAAUUUAAUCACAAUGAAAAGCAAAACACAAACUUGAAGUUAAAUUAUAAGUCCUUGAAAGUUCAUUGCCAUGGAAAAACAGACUACAUGUUUAAGGUCAUACGGUAAUCAUUUAACUUCAAAUCAGGUUAAUAAUGCAGGCUAAAAUUGCUUUAAAAAAACAGCAGAGGUUACCUGCUUAAGGCACUUGUAGUUCUCUAACCCCCCUUUUUUUUAUGAAUCCCUGUAUAUAAUAUUUUUUGUGGGCCAUAAUUUUCAUCACACAAGUAAAUGAAUUCUUUUCUGUUUUAACAUUAGUGACAAGAUCCUAUUUUUAACCUUUCAGAUAAAAAUAUCCUCAACUUUUCUUUCCAUUAAUAAUAUAAAUAGAUAUAAGAGUAUUAGUUAAUCUUAAAGAGUUGUCAAUAGCAUGGUAUUAAACUGACAAAUUUUAUAGAAAUAUAGGUGGAUUUGAUAUGAAAUAAAAGGUUAUCAUGAACUAGUCACAUGUUAACUGUGUUAGUCCGGAAGUCUGCAGCACUGAGAUACUUUUGUGAUCAAUGACUUUCUAGUACCUUGUGUACAUGUAAUCUAUUCGUACUUGAAUUGUUUAUUGGGAAAAUGGUAUUAAGUUGUAGAAGUCGGAUUUCAUGUUAAAUGAUAUUGACAUUUUAUUUUGUUUUGAUAUUAAAGCUAUAUUUAUUUUGGGUACAUAGAAAUACAAGGCAGAUAUAGGCAAAAGUCUAUUAUUAGGUAGAAUAAUUGUUUUCUGUUAUAAGAAGAGGGAAGUAAAGGCUCUUCCUGGAUUGUAAGUCCACCAUCAACAUUAGACUUAGUAUACCUUAGUUUUAUUGAAUUAUAUCAAGUUGAUGUUUACUACAAUUUUUGUUAAUGCAUUAUAUAGAAAUUAAAUAUUCCAGUAAAAAAAAGGAUUGAACAGGGACCAAGAAUAAUUUUCUUCAUGAAGCUUUUUGGAAGAACUGUUCGCGGGUUUGCAGAUUGCAAAUUCGGGAAAUAAUGGCAAUCUAAGUGAAUUCAGAUGUUAUGUUUCUGCUUUUAUAUAAAGGAACUGUCUUGUUCCCCCUCUUAACCCUCCCUUUUCAAACACCAUCCUCCCAAAAAAGAAAAAUUAUGCCAGUUAUAAUGGUUAGGAGAAAUUUAAACCAGAAAUGCUUUGUCCUCGGUUUUGUCACGUUUCCUUUCCAGAAAUCGUAUUUUGUUCAUAGAUAUCAUGCUUAUAUAUUGCAGUUCAAAUUUGAUCUUCCUCAAGAGGUGAAAACAUCUUUUAUUUUCAGUUUUUGCAUAAUACAAGCUCGUCAAUUAAACCGAUCAUAAUUAGAUCUUCAUAUGUAACACUGCACCAGUUUUAUCCCUAUUUUAGUGUCUGACCUCUUGGUGCAUUGCCGAACAAUUAAGAGAAACUUUAUAUACCCUAUAAAUUGCAUGUCACUAAUGUAAUGUGUUUCGGUUCUAUAACCCCUGAACAUUAUGUCAAAUUUUACGUGACAUUAUCAAGUCUAUCAGGAAAUUAGUAGAGAAGUGGAGGUCUCAUAUAGGUCGUUCUUUAGGAUGGCAAAUUAUUUUUGUAGAGAGAAAACUUACCUUUAAAGCAAAUUAGACUAUAAAUAAUGAUAAAAUAACUGAAGGCCUUUGUCCCUAGUAUAAUAACAGUAGAUGGUUGUUGUCAAGCGAAUUUUACUUAAUAACGCAUCAAUUAAGAUAAAAGAUUAUUGGUCUGAAAUAGUAACUUUUCAUGUUGUGAUACUUAGGAAGUGAAGUAGAAAGGUUAUCUGCUAAUGAAAUACACAUGAAGUUUGUUAAGUGUCAGCUGUGUAAAGGUUAAGGGUAGGCUGGUGAAGUCAGGGUCCACCCUUAUAUCAAAAUUCAUGAUUUUUACUUUCCACGGCUCCCAGCCGUCUGAGUCUGCACUGUUCAAUAUUACAGCAUGCACAUUAACAUCAUUUUUAAGGGUUACUCAAGGUAGGAAUUAUUGAUAAAUAACAAUGUGAUACAUAUUGACAUUAAAAAAGAUCAGACUUCUCUAAAUGAAUGAGUCAGUUGCCAUCUUUUCACAAUAGCAGGGCAUAAAUUGCUGCAAAGCAAAAUUGAAUUGUCUGAUUUGUAUUGAGGCCAUGGAUCUUGUGUGCAUAUAUAUUUUCAAAGUUGGAGAGAAAAUUUUGUCCGUAUAUGUCAUGGGCUCUAUUAUAUGACUUGAUAUUACUUGGAUGGAAAAUAUUUAAGGAGGAGGGUUCAGAUCAUUAGUUUAAGAACAGGUCAAACUAGAAGACCUUUUGUCUCUAUUAACACUGGUCUGUCCCCUGAUUUACAUGGAAGACUGCAUGAGGAUUUUAGUGAAAUCAGUAAAGUUGCAAUAGUUAUAAAAACAUUAAUUGAAAAUUGGCUUUCCCAUGACUAAAAAAAAUAUGCGGUUCAAACCUAUAUUCAUAAUGAUAGUAUGUAAUGGUUGACUCUUUUUUACUGUCUUCAAUACAAAUUUAAAAAAUAAAAAAAUAACUUUUUGCUUUAUUUUGUACGAUUAUUCGAGGUCAUGUCCUUGACUUGCUACUUCACAUUUACGGACCAUUUCCUGGAAUACAUUUUCUUUGAUAUUAAAUGUUUACCUGGUUAAUGCAGGUUUUGAUAUGCUUUAACAUGAUUAAAGUUUUUUUCUGAUUUAAAAACUGAUAUGAAAUGUCUAUUGUUUUAUCUUCUGGUUUAUCAAUUGUUUACAGACAUUUUAAUAUGAUUGUACUUAGUAGAUGGUCAGAUAUUCUUAUACAUAGACGGUUGAUAUCUGAUAGUGGUAGUAAAAAUGAUAAGUUGUUAUAAUUCUACCUUACAUCUUGUAGUUGGGUUAGCUUCAAAGGGUUUUAUUUGGUAUAGAACUUUUAAAAAAAGGCUUCCUGCCAAACACAAAGUAUGAGUUCUACUAGUUUUGACAUUUUAAUUAAUUGCUGUAACAUUGCAAUUUAAAAUGGUGGUAUUACUGCCAACACCAUCAAUGUCCUGAACUGAGGCCAACGGUCAUCAUGUGUUUCGACCUCUAGCUCUGUACCCUCUCAGGAUCCGUGUACAUUCAAAUUUGACCAAUGAAUAAUUAAAAUUUCAUUUUUGGGGGAAAAUUUAAGUUUCAAAUAGAAAUGAAUAGACAUUUGUCACAUACAUUACAAGUAACUUGAUUUGGGAUAAGUAAAGCAGACUUAUUUUAAUACAAGAUUUUUACUUUGAUAGAUAUUUUCACAUAAUGUCAAAUUUCUUACAACAAACAGACAACUGUCAUGUGUGUAUAGAAGUGGAAAGGAUUAACAAUAAUUUGAUAUGACAAAUUCAUGUACUCUUCAUUUUACAUGUAUGUUUUUCUUUCCUCAACUCCAUGUUAAAUGUUGGUGAAAAGAGAAAAUGUCAGCUGCCAAUUUAAUUUAAUUUUGACAAUUUAGAAUUGAUGUGGUAUUUAAAUGUUGAUAUAAACAGUGAAGUUUAUCAUCUUUAUGAUAACCUUAACAGCACGACUAGGUGUGCAGAUUGUGUACAAGGGCUGUGUUAUGCUUAAUGAUGCAUUCUGCUGGUACAUAAGUGACCCCCAUACCUGUUGACCUACAUGCAGGUGUUCACAUUAAGGCUCUCCAAAGGGAAAAUUUAUAGCUUUUUUUCUUGAGUGUGCCAAUAACCUCAUAACUGAGAUUGAACUUUUCUGUUUUAUGAUAAUUCAACAGUAAAUAAUUGCAUAAUAUUUUAUAAAAUGAUUCAAUGAGUCAGAAAGGAUCAUUCAACCCAUUUGAUGUAGAUAUUCUAUUUUUAAAGGAGUUUUACAAGAAAAGAAUUAAAGUACUUUACCUGUCUUUUAUUGAGAAAUUGAGUAAGAAGGAUGUUGAUCACAACAUGGGAGUUUUAGACUAUGAUACAUGUAUAGAAAUGCUUUUAUUUACAUAAUUGACUUACUACAUCAGCUCCAUGUAAAAUAGCCUUAAUAGGUUCCAAUUAUGACCUACAUUUAUAAGAUGCCCCAGAAAAGAAUUAAAUGCAUACUAUUCCUGAAUUAGUUGUAUAAAAAUGUUUAAUAUAAUGAUUGGACAAGAAAACCAAAUGCAAAAUUUUUCUCAGUUUAUAUAAGCUGAUGAAAUUUUAGAUAAAUUCUCUGUCUGGCUCCACUGUUGCCCACCCUAAAAUGCAGUAGGUAGGGUUUUAUUAGUUAUUAGUUAUCAAAGGUACCAGGAUUAUAAUUUAGUACGCCAGACGCAUGUUUCGUCUACAUAAAACUCAUCAGUGACGCUCAAAUCAAAAUAUUUUAAAGCCAAACAAGUACAAAGUUGAAGAGCAUUGAGGAUCCAAAAUUCCAAAAAGUUGUGCCAAAUAUGGCUAAAGUAAUCUAUGCCUGGGAUAAGAAAAUCCUUAGUUUUUCAAAAAGUUAAAAGUUUUGUAUACAGGAAAUUUAUAAAAAUGACCACAUUAUUGAUACUCAUGUCAACACCGAAGUGUUGACUACUGGGCUGGUGAUACCCUUGGGGACAAAACGUCCACCAGCAUUGAAAAAUUGCAGACAGGUUUUUUUUAAUGAAUAAAAUUGAGAAUAGAAAUGGGGAAUGUGCCAAAGAGACAACAACCCGACCAUAGAAAAAAACAACAGCAGAAGGUCACCAACAGGUCUUCAAUAAAGCGAGAAAUCCCGCACCCGGAGGCGUCCUUCAACUGGCCCCUAAACAAAUAUAUACUAGUUCAGUGAUAUAAUGAACGCCAUACUAAUUUCCAAAUUGUACACAAGAAACUAAAAUUAAAAUAAAACAAGACUAACAAAGGCCAGAGGCUCCUGACUUGGGACAGGCGCAAAAAUGCGGCGGGGUUAAACAUGUUUGUGAGAUCUCAACCCUCCCCCUAUACCUCUAGCCAAUGUAGAAAAUUUGAAAAACAUAUGCUAUAACUUUUUAUAUGUAGUCUGUAACCUAUGUAUCAAUUUAAAUAUGAAAUACUGGUACAUAAAUGUCAUGUCCUAAGUACCUACAUGGUAAAAAAAAAUUAAAAUCUAUUUUAAAAAAAGUAAAAAAUCCUGAUACAAUCCCCUAUUGUAUUGUAAAAAUCAUAAAUAAUUUUGACGGCAAACAUAUCAAGAACAAGGUUAAUAUUUUAUUACCCUUAGAGCAUAUGAUAUCGCUCUAUCUUGGCAGAUACAUUACAAUUAAAGUUAAUUUCAUGCUCAAAUAUAUCUUUGAGUGUUGUAAAUAUUUAAAAGUAAAUAGGAUCAUCAAAGAUUCUAGAGGGGAUAAUAAAAUCAUAUUUUCUGUAUAGAUGGGCUGUAAUCUUCUCUCUUUACAACUUUUGUAUUGUUAUAUUACUAUCACAAGGACAUGCCAUUAAAAAUAUCUAGACACAUUUGAAUAAAGGUGCAAAAGACUUAAGUAUUGAAACAUGGCAUAAAAUCACCAGGGCCAAGUAUUUUCAGUGUUGUUUUCAAGUCUGUAUUUCUUGUGAUUGCAGUCAAUAAAUUCAACAUCAAUUUUUUUUUUCAUUAGAAGUGUAAAUGUAUUUCAUUUAGCAAUAUUCAAUUGAAGGCAGUUCAGUGUAUUGCCUCCCAUUUGUCCUUCACACCAUAUUUUAAUAAUGGCUAAAAUUUAAUUUUACAAUUUAACAUAUGUAUAAAUAGAAGUCAUUUACUGCUUUUAUUUCUGAGUGAUUGGUUCAGAUGAGCAUAUGUAGUUUGGGGCACUUGCUCAUUGAAGUUGUAACAUUUUAUUUGUUGGUAGUGAUCUUUGAUAAAAGUGAGGGGUCUUUACAAUGACCUAUAUCUAAUACAAAGCCAACAUAGUUUUCAAUAAGAUAAGAUAAGAUCUACAAUGAGUACGAAUGUCAAGGAGGAUCACAUUGACCUAAAAUAAAGUCUUAUCACAUAAGAAAAAUUGUCUUACAACAUUAUAAUAUAGAUUCAUCAUUAGUUAACAUAUUUCCUGGUCAUUUCAAGUGCUUAGAUUUUCUUUAAAAUGCCAUUUAUAUUCUUGUAGAUAUGUGGUAUAAAGUGUUGAAACAGCUUCCCACUGGCUUUUUCAAAAUACAGUUAUAAUAAAAUGGUAUAUUACAGCCUAUUUACAGGUCAGUAUCAAGGAAAUGUAACACCAUUUACAGUAUGUGCCAAACUGUUUUACAGUUUGCCUGACCGAAAAAGAAAUUUAAUGUUUUUCUACUAUAUUUUCAAUUGAAAAUUUUAUCUGAAUUAUUUUUUGUCUGAAAUUUUGUUGGUCAGCUCUGAGAGUUUGAGAUACACUACAUUUAUUGGAAAAAGAUACCUACAUUUUGACUCUGUCUUAUUGUUUUCUACAUGUACUUCCUAUGAUAGUAGAGUGGCAUUAUGCUGUCUGUUCCUUAAAAGUUUGGUUUACAGUAAAUCUCAGUUGGUUAAGGAAGUUUGUUGUCUGUUUCUGAUGGCAAUCUGAUUAUUUAUUUUAGGGUUAUAAAGAGGUUUGGUGCACUUUAUGUCAUUUCUGUACAAUAACUAAUAACCCUAAACCCAAUGGGUUUCAAUAUUUUUAAUAAAUUGUUCUUCAAAACAAAAUGUAGGUAUCACCUUAUAUUGACAAUUUUCUCUUCUACUGUUCUGAAAUUGUCCUCAUUUCUUUAUUUCUGUUAUUUCCAAGUGCAUUUUUAAAAUCGGUACCUCUGCUACAGUAAACUUGCAUGUAUUUUUUAUCUCCCCUUUAAAAAUUGUCCUGACUAACUAAGACAUACUGUAUCUAAUAAGUUGUUUCUGUAUAGAUAGGCUACAGUUUCUUUUAGGACUUGACUGGCUGAGAAUUUGUUGACCUUUUUUUUUUAUUAUAUAUAUGGGUAGGAAAUCUAAAAUUUUAAACUUUUCUACACUUUGAUGUCUUACUUAAUUUCCAUAUUUAACUGGAUUGUUUGAUUAUUAGUGGUAUAUGUUAACCCAUCUUUUACAUUUAUAGGAUCAAUGUGUCCUUUAGAAGUACUUUUUAGUCAAACUCAUUUCGUAUACAGUACAUAUAUACUGAUCGCAAUAAUAAAAUCUAUUUACAUGUUGUUUUUCACUGUCUUUUUCUUAUCAAAUUGUUUAUGUGAAUGUUUGUUUGCUUUCAAACUGUCUAAUGUUUGGUCUAUUUUUGCAUGAUACAUUUAGGUUUCAAACAAAUUAAUCCAUCAAAAAUAGAGCCAGAUAUAUUUAUAACACAGGUAAAAACAGUCUCACCUGGCGUCAAUUACAUAACGGAUAACACCUGUAUUGUAUAAAUAUGUAUUUACAUUUGUAAAUCGUGCCCUCCUUGCCAAGGUAGCAUCAUUACUUUCAUGAUUACAAGUUAAUUAUUAUUUAUUCUUUAAGUAAAAGGAGAAACUUGAUAAAUUGUCUAUUUACUUGUAUGCUGUAUUUUUAAGAUCCUUGAGUAAUUAUUUUAAAAGACAAACAUGAAUAUAUUUCUUCGAUAUUGUCAAUUUUUUUAUAGGUUUUUUCGACAUUUUUGGUUUUUAGUUCUAUUUAGAUUUAAUUAAAAUUCCUAAAAAAGAACUUACUUUAGUGAUUAUUGGUAUUCUAAGUUAUUUUAGUCCUAUAUAGGACAAAUUACUAAAUUUGAUUUACGAGAUUUGUAAAUUUGCAUAUAAACCUAAUGGAGUCUUGUAACAUCUUAUCAGUGUAAAUUAUUCAGGUAUUGAUUCAAAUUUUAAUCGCCUAUAAUUCGAGUCUCUCCAAUAGAUGUAAGGGUCUCUAGUCCUUUACACUUAGACUGAGAGCACCUGUCCUGAUUAUUGUAUUUAUUUACACGGGUAGAUAACGACUGUCUCCAGUACCCGACAGAUGUUCCCUGGAUGGAAACACCCUUUUAAAAUUCACUACCCUGAAGUCGUAAUGUGAGAUGUAUAUCUUUAUCUUAUCACCACACCAUUAUAGUAUCGCCUGUUAAGUACUUAUAGCAGUAAGCAAAGCGUGACAAAGUCCAACAUAAAUCCCUGUUUCUUUAGUUUUCAAGUGGCUAGCUUUGUUCCUGCUGUUCCUCUUAUCCUAUAAGUCAGUAUAUAAAAUCAUAGGUGCGAUGCCAUCACACUUUAUAUAUCUAAAAUGGACUUGUUUUGAUUUUAUCAAAAGGCUCUCGUCUGCUUGAUGUUAUUUGCAUUAAGAACAUUUCACAUGUUUUCAGUUUUCCCCUUUGAUAAUGAAGUACCAUCCUGAAGCAUUAAAUUGUUUCCCACAUAAAAAAACAAGCAGGUUUUCAUUCACUUAAAAUAAUUUUCUAAAACACCAAUCCUUCAUAUUGAUGCUGCAUAUGUUUGACUAUUAAUUAAAAUAUCUUCUAAUUUUUGACUACAUAAAUUGGAUUUAUUGGAGAGGAAUUGGUUCAGACAAAGAAUUGCCAUUUUUGAUUUUGAGGAAUUUUACAUAUUUACAGCUCUGACGUUUUGUGAUUUCAAGCACAGCCAAUUGUAUGGUAGUUAAAGCCUUUUAUAUGUAUCUUAUUAUAACUUUUCAAGUCUCUCAUGUGGAAACUUAUAUUUAUAGCAUUCCUAGAGAAGUCCUUAUUAAUUUUGCUUAUUGGUGAUAUCAAUCUUGCAAAGAAUUUUACAAAACUUUUGGCCGGCAUGUUGGUCAUUUUUAAACCAAGGAAGAAAAAUUCAUUUUCAGUUUCAAAACACAAAAUAUCAAACAAUUAUGUUUAAGUGGACAAGCAUGAUGUACAAAAUGUUUUAUCUGUUCAUUAUAUAAUCUGAACAAUAUAGGGAAUUAAAACCAAAUGUCAUUUUUGAAGUAUCCACUUUCAAUAAAAGAUUUUCUUGUCUUUCUAUCAGUUUUUAAUGCAGUCAGCAUGUUUUUGUUUGCUCCUCCUUUCCAUUAAGCAUCUGAAAAGAAUUAUAAUUUACUCUAGAUUUAUUUCCUGUUUUCACCCGAUUACAAAUUUUAAUUUAACAUAACUAAAAAUAUAUAGAUAUAUAAUAAGUGGCACAAUUUCCUUACAACAGUGUAAACUGGCACGUUAAAAGAAUUAACUGAACUGAUUAAAUCAAACUGCGAUUUUUAAUAAGAUGUAGGUCAAGUUUUAUAUAUAUAUACAUCCUCAGGUAAUAUAAUACGAAGGUUAUAUAUAAACAUGAUGUCAUUAUUGUUUGUAUACAGAAAAGUUGUUUUUGUUUUUUCCCAGGGCAGCAUGUGGUUUUAAGGUGUAAAAAAUAAUCAUGAUUCUGUCUCCUAGGUAAUUGUCAUAAAUCUUAAUCAUUGUAAUCACAAAUUACAUUAUCUACAUGUACAGUUUUUAAGUCGUGACAGGUUUUCUGAACUUAUUCUCAUGGAUAUAGGGCAUAGUCAGACAAACAUGAAUGUCAAGUUGGAAACCUCAAGUCUGUAUCAUUAAUUGCUAAUUCAUAGGUUAGGUCAUGUAAUGGGUGGGUUCUUGUUAGUUACUACAUGUAUUUGCUUUUAUUCUUAUCCAAGGCUAAUUGAUAUAUCAAUUAAACUCAGGAUUUAUAUCUGACUAUACAAAUCCUUGAUUAAAUCAAUAACAACACCAAUUAAAUGAAUUUCAAAGUUAAAGGCCAGAAAAUUUGUUAACCCAUUCUGUUUUCAAAUGUUGGAUUAUGUUUAAAAGGAUAUGUCUUGUAUAAUGUCAAUUAGACACCAACAAUGCAAUAAAACAAAACAAAAACAAUUUUACUUUAACCAGAAAGUAUCAGAAAGCCAUUUAGUUCAGACCAGGUAACUUCAUUAUUAAUUAACGCACACAUGAAGCAUCACCGAUCAUUACAAAUAAUACUACAAUUAUAUGCGCUGGUUCUGGCUGGGUACCAGAAAACAUGAGACAUACAUGUAUCUGUGGUCAGAUCUUUGAUUAUGAUAAAUGUGAAUCACCAUUAUUUUUUAUGUGUCAGUGUGAAACCUGAAGAUUGAUAACCAUCUUUGUUGUAACAAUUUUUUGUGGUUGACUUUCUGCAGGGGUAUAAAGAUUUGAUGUUAUUUGUGAAUAGAUUUGACAAGACCUAGUGAAAGUUUGAAGUAACUGCCCCAAAAAAUAAAGAACAAAAUAUUCUUGUCACUGUCUGACAAUGACCUAGCUAGUAAUUUAGAUUUCAAUCUUAAAAAUUUGAUAAAUCACUUAAAUAUUUUUAAAUAAACAUUUAGCAGGGUCAGUCACAUUGAUUGACAAAAAUUGAUGUUGUGGUUUUGGGCUGGGUUUUAUUAAGGUAUCAUUUUUUUUGUAACCAUUGCUUGAUAAUGAGACCAACUAAAUUUGGCAUGCAUUAACAAAAAGGGAAAUAUUGAAACAUUAAAUAAAAUCAACAUUUAACCAACACAUUAAUUAUGAUUUGUUCUCAGUGUUUCUACAUCAGCAAUAAUAUCCUUUAGCAUUGCAAGAAAUUACUUGGUAUUGAGGUAUGUAGAGCAUAUUGCUUGCAUUUUAAAAACUUCUACAAUGAGCCUAAUUUCUUAAUUUUUAUGUGAAUUUAAAAUAAAAUAUCAAAAUUAAUGUGUCCAACCUCAGAUUCAAACCCCUAAAAAAAAUGAGCGCUUUGAAUUUAGCUUCUAAUUCCCAGAACCCUUUUGGUUCUGCUAGGACCUCUAAUAUAUAAGUAAUUUUGAUUUUAAAGAAAUCUUGCAUAUGUAUUGGAAAAACAUUGAUUCUGACUUGUGAACAAUCCUUGAAUCUUAAAAAAGUGUGUUUUUGUAAAGAUUGCUAUAUAUAGUGUUUGCAUGCAGAAAGCAAUGGAUAAAUAGAUAUAAUCUAAUCACAUAUAUCCUAUUAGAUAUCUAUCAGGUGUGGGUAGGAAAUUGUUGGAAAUAAGAGAGGUGUAAAUACCCAGAAAUAGGAAUCUUGACUUACAUCUUAAAGUACAGGUAAUUAGAUAUAUAAAAAAGUAAAUACACAGAAAAAUUAAAUCCACUAAGAACAUCCUGCAAAAUUUUUGUGUAAGCAGGAAAUUGAAAGAAUACAGAAAGGUAUAAAUACUUGACGUGAUAAUGUUAAACAAACAUGCAAGUAGAGUUAGUGUAUAUUAAAACUCAAUACACAAUAAAACACUUGAAAACAUCCUCCCGACAGACUUAUGUCUAAGCAGGAAGUCAUGGGUACUGAUGUUUGUUAGGAUACUGGGAGAUAUGGAGACAUGAACCCCUUAUAAACAUUGUAGAAUGCUUAGCAGGAAGUCAUGAGAAUUCAGGGUACUGAAACUACUGAUGUUUGUUGGAAGCUUCUGUAUAAUACUGGCAGAUAUGGAGACAAGUACCCUUUAUAAACAUCCUGGAAGGCUUAGCAGGAAGUCACCUUCACAUUCUUAGACCCGAGACUGGUACAGAAGGAGAAAAACCAAACAUGUUUUCAGUUAUGGGUAUCAACAAGGAUCUGAUUUCAUUUUAAAACAGAAAGGAAUUUUCUCCCAAAACAUGGCUUUGGAUAUUUGUUAAAAACAAUAAAAUAUUUAUUCAGGGUUUAUAGAAUCAAGAGUUUCAAAACUGAAUACGGUAAACAGAUGAUAGUGUAUUAUGUAACCCUGUCCAAAAUUUGGAAAGAUGUUAUGUCCUGAUAUUAUAUGGAAAUAUUUGAGUUAAUCGUGCAAUUUGAUUGGUUGCCUUGACAGGGUACAUGAGCCCUUGAAAAAAAAAUGAAGAUCAGAAUUGUAUUAUAUAAUGUUGAAAUUAAGACACUCCAGUAUAAUAUAGUUGUUGUUUUCGGGCUUCACAUGAGAUUUGGGCUCACAUUUCCUGUGAAGAUCCCAUUACAAUGUAUUUUGAGAAAUUAAAAACAAAAAACAGGGUCUUUGAUAAUGUUACAUAAAAUGAAACAUUUGUGGAACUUGGGUAAAUAUUUUGAACUUGUGUGAAGUCAAGGUCCUUAACAACCCCUACAGGAGAAGGCAAAGAUUAAGAGCUAUUAAGGAAAACUACAUGGUCCAAAAUAAAGAAAAGUAUUAUUAAAAAUUAUCGUAGAAAUUUAUAUGAAAGUUGACAGGGACUUGUAAUAAGUAGCAGUAUAUAUCCUAUGUAAAUAUAAUUACAGGGGUUAUGACCAGUACAAACUGACCAUUAGUAAUCCUCAGGUCUGAUCCAUUUAAUCCUGACACCUAACACUCCUCAACAUAUGUCUUGAUAAAUAUCUAGGUAACAAUUCUUUAUCCAACAACUUAUUUCAAACAAUAAUCUAAACAAACGGUUAGAAAGAAAAACAUUGAUACAAAUAUUAGAGUCACUUGUUUCCCUGAAAGGUGUGUUAUCGUUAAUAAACUUUGAUAAAGCGUUGAAAAUUUAUGAGGCAGUAUGUACUUUACUUAAUUUGGAAUUUAAUGGUUUUAAUUGUUAUUGAAAGGAUUAUUUAGAAAUUUUUAAAUGUCACGAAGAAUUACCUUUUGAUAGCCUAAAAUAUACAGUUAGGCAGAUGGGGCAGGCCGUAUGUUUGGGUAAAGGUGUUAGAUGGGUACCAGUACUGCCAUCUGUUGUGGCCUCACCUGACGGAUACUUUACUAAUGACAAAUCCUUGUUUAAUGUCAACUUAUAGUCAAGUGAAAUGUUAAUGGUACCAGGUUACAACCAUUGUGACGAAUCAAACUCAAUUUUUUUAUCAAUAUAUUAUUUUUUAAUUUAGCACUCAAAUUGAUUGUUAGCAGUUUAAAUGUUAGUUUUAAGUCAAAAGGAUGGGUUUUUAAAUUGCCAAAAAUGAUUGAUUAAUAGCUUAUAUCAAUGCAUUUUGUUACAGUGCAGGUUGUGUAUUGAUUUUUUAAAUCAGAUUAAAAAACUUCAUCUUGUGUCUCGAAACUGAUUACAACUACAAAUGCCAAGGUUUUGUAUACAUACGUAAAUCUACUGUUGUUCAGAAAUUAGAAAUAGCUGUUAUGUUUUUGAUUAAUUAUUUUGUUAUGUCAAACCAAGGUUUCUUCUAGUUGUUUCUGGUGACAUGUAAACAGAUCAAAAAGUUUUUGACAAAUUACAGAACAGAUAAUUAUGCUAGUAACUUAUAUAAUGCCAUAGUUUUUCAGGUACUUAAUUUUAAAUUGUUAAUUAGAUUUCAGUUGCAUGCAAAUUCACUGCCAGAUGUUUCAGUGAAAAAUAAGGGGCAAUGGAGGUUUUUGUUGCUGUAGUGGGACAUUACGUCCCAAAAUUGUUAAAUCCACCACUAAGGAUUACUCAACAGAUAUGUUGUACAGGCUUGUCACCUGUCUUGUGUGUUUAGUUUUUUAAAAGGGAAAGGAAUUGGGAAUUCACCAACUUUAUUUGCCUAACUAAAACUUUCACAUAUUUUAUUUUUUUUAAUUUGUACAAAAUUAACAUAACAAUGUUAUGUACUGAUAGAUGUGUCUUAAAAAAACAUCAGUUUUAUACAGAAAUUCUCAAGAUUAAUACAACGUCUAUUUAUAUGUACAUAAAAAUAUACUUCACAAUUGUACCGAAUUAGCAAAAAAAUAAAUUUAAGGGAAGUAACUCUUUUAAUUUGUCACAUUCAACCUUUGAACUAAAUAUGAUCUGUGUAUGACCUUGACUGAAAUAAAAGCUAUAAAAGUUACUAUUAAACUGCAAAAUAACAAAUUCAUAAACAUGUCGUAAAUUUCCAAAUGAGAAUUUCUAUUGAAUUAUCCUUGAGAGAAAAUAUAGAUAAUAUCAGUAAUAAUUAGACAGAAAAAGUUUUACGUUUAUGUUUAUUUACCAAAGAUAGGGGGCUGUGAAUAAAGAUUGGUGCAACACAUUUUCUAUUUCCUGUACCGACUUUGAGAAAGUUUUCAUUAAUUUUGCAGCUUUGUGUAUUUCUAUAAAGCCAGAGGGGGGUUACUAUUGAAGUGCUUCAUUUGUGAUAAUACCCACAGUCUGUCAGAAGUGAAAAGAUUAACUGAGUACACAGACACAUCUGUCGCAUUCUCACAAAAUCAAAAGAUUUUGUCAAAUCCUUAUUCCACUUUAAAUCUCCAGUUUUGUUUGUUUAUCUUUUAACAGAGGUAAUUUGUUCUGUAUCUAGGCUGAUUGUGUAUUAGAAAACUGUCAAUUUGGCAAAAAUCAAUAAUAACAGCAUUCUUAGUUUGAAAUGAGAAAUGCAUGUUUGAAAUGUUGUAUUUCCUUGAUUAUUAGUUGUAGAAGUCUGGUAGUUGUAGAGUUGACUUGAGGGUCAGAACUGGUCAGAGAAAAUGACCUGGUUGGUUGUGGUCAGUCAUCCCAGGUCAUUGUUUAGAGGCUACAUGUUUUCUGUAGACCAGAACAUAUUAUACAUGAUAAUUCAUAAUUAAUAGGUCCUCUUUGAUGUUUAUAUUGGUUGUUUUGAUAUAUGGGAUAUUUUUCUUUAAAUCUAUUUGAAUAUGAUUCCGAUAUAAUUACUUAAAUAACAUAAAUAAGCUCGCUCAAUAAAAGCACCAUAAAAUGAAAAUUACAAAGAAUAAAUAAAUGUGUUUUUACUUAUUUUUUUACAUAAAUGUAGGUUAUGUGGAUUUAUAUAUUCCCUUGACCUUGAUGUCCUUGUAAUUGUUACCUUUCAGAUUUUGGAAAUGAUGUUUUGAGGUUUUUGACAUUUUGAUAUCUAUGAAAUUCGUCUAAAGUUUUAAAAAAAUCUGGUCAUAAGAAGGAAAAUAAAAAUUGUGAAAAACAUAUCAUUGUGCCAAAUGAAAGUAUUUGGAUUUCCACCAUAAUUAGAUUUUUUCUGGCAAAAAAAAAUAUUUUUCUCCUGUUCAUUUCUAUAAACAUAUAUAACCUCAUUCAGGUUGAAAUUGAGGUCAAGGAUUCCAUUUCAAUUGUAAUAGGCAUUGCAGGAAAAACUCAUAAUUGCUGAAAGCACAUUGCAUCUAUAGGUGUGAUUUGAAGAGAAACUCAGAUUUAUUAUUCAAACCUGGUACCUAUGCAGAAAGACAUAUAUGAUGCUACAUAUUUUUUUUAAAUCAAAACAUUAUAAAUGACAAUAAACCAAUGAAUUGUUUGUUAAAGCUUGCUAAAAAUUCACCUAAACAUGUUCAAGUCUAAAUGAUUGUGUUGACAUUUUCUAGACACAUGGAAAUGUAAAUAGUCUUAUCCUAAAACUAGAACGAGUAUAAAGGAUCUGUCACAUUCAGUGAGAAAAAAACCAGUUCAUUAGAUUUAUUCUCUAUCAGAUAAAUAAGUGAUGCAAUGCCAGUAAAAAUUCUCUUUCCUUUGAAUUAAUGGCAAGUUUGUCAGUAUCCUGACAGAUAAGAAACAUUUGAUUUGGCUUUUUGAAGAAUGUUUAUGGAUAAAAAACAGGAUUUAAUGGAUUUUACUUUGAUACCUGAUCUAUUAAAAUGUUGUUCUUUGGCCAGAAAGGUUUAAUAUUUUGACUAGAAUUAGUUAGGCCUUUUUGGCUCUUUCUUGUAAUGUUUUGAAACCUUACUUUGUUUUGGACAGUUUAAUGCAUUCUUUACAUAUCUAAAUUAAUUUAUUGAUUUUUUUGUGUGCAAAAAUGACUUGUUUUAUUCUUUGGAAACAUUCAGCUUAAAGCAAAAGUAUAGUGCAUGACAACUUUUAGAUUCUAUCAUCACAUUCAUUUCCGGAAUCAAAACAUCAAAGACGUUCAUAUUAAGGACAAUAUGGACGUGAAAUGAUUAAUUAUUAUAAAAUAAUGGUAAAUUGUUAUUAAAUUUUCUGUUAAGAUGUAUGGAUUUUUUAUUUUGACUAAUAGUAAUGUAUUCUGUUUGAAGUUAAGGAUUUUGGCUAAUCAUCUUAAUGUCAACUGAAUUAAUUAAUGAAUGUAUUUGGUAGAUUGUCACUUUGGAUCCAAUCUAUAUCAUAAAACAACACAGAACAGCAGAUUGAAGUUUGCAGAAAGAGGUUGAAGAGGAUGCCAUGGGGGAGUCAAAAGACUAUCUGUCAAAGAUAAAAAGGCAAAACUUCCAGAAAUAAUAAAUAUCCACACAACUAAUUAAGACCUACAAAUAUCCACGCAGCUACAAAUAUCCACACAGCUUAUUGAAUGUAAAAAGUUCCUGCUCCACUAUCUGCACCCAUCUUGCUACAAGUAAAAAUUUAUUGAGUGAAGAUUUAUUAUCCAGAAAUAGGGUUGUUGCAACAACUAAUAAAAGCUACAUAUUUAGCAUAUAUUUGUCAUUAACAUGUUUUUUUUAAUGAGCAGUGAAAGAUACUGUUGCAGAAUUAUAAUUCGACAUAUGAAAUUGUAUCUUUUGUAUGUAAAUCUGAUAAACAGAAGUAUGAUAUUACAUACCUUUUUGUUUUGAACAUUUAGAAUAAACACUAAAGAAAAAAGUGUUACUGUGCAAUUGCAUUUCGAGUGGGACAUUGGAAAUCAGAAAUGCAAAUGGAGUUACAUGUAUGUAUUAUUUUUUUUGUAAAUUGCAGAAAAAUAUAUUGACUACCAUGAUCAUAUGGACAAGUGUUUAAAUCUGUUCAGUGAUAAAAAAAAAAUCAUUCUAUGAAAUAUUAUAUUGAGGUCUCCCACCUAUGGUAGAAAUGACAACAGGUCAUUUGGUCUGUGAACUUUUCUCUCUUGUUUACCUGAUUUAGCACAUAGUUUCUUGAAUGUUUGUCAUGGGGCAGUACAAUAUUAAAAUGUGGACUAUUUUUAUGACCAGUGACUGAAGACCAUUUAGUGCAAUCUGUAUUCACAUCAACCUAAUUGAGUAUAAUCCCUUUAAAUAGAAAAUUUAGUUUGACUUCUGAAUGAACCCAACACCUUAUAAUUGAAUCCAAUUCUAUUACUUAUAUUCAUUUAGAAGAAGAAAUGAAAUUGUCUGUAGUAAGCAGAAUGGAAAAAAUCUAUUCCUGAAAGCAUGUUAUACGAAAAAUGUUAUUUGCUUACUACUCAUAAGAAAAGUGGAAUAUCUGAGUAUUUUUUCUAUGUCUCAAUCUCGCUAUGAAAUGAAAAACUUGAUUUAAACACUAUUUGGUCAAUUCUGAUUUCUUUUUCAUUUAAUCAGUAGAAUACUUUUCUUUUUAUUGGAUGUUUUAUGCAUUUACAAGGAAUGUUUGUUUGAGUUUUGCUAUUUUAAAAGUAAAAGACAUUUUUCAUCUUUUAAGGAUUACUAAGUAUGCAAUUCAAUGGAAACCUACUGCAUAACCUGCUUUUCUGAUGCACUUUGAUUCUUAAAAGUGAAAUUUUAAAAGAUUUAAUUUAUCAAGUGUUUUAAGAAACAUACUUGUAUAUGAAGGUUCAAAAUGCUUCAAAAGAUGAAAGAUAAAAGAAGUUUAUAUUGAUGAUAAGAUACUCUGCAAAAAUCAUUUCCAAUUUAUGAAAAAUGAAUAAUUGUGCACCUGCAGACACUGUAUAUAAAGUAUUAAAUUCUUGUGGCUUAUAUUAAUGGUAAUAUGAACGUAUUAAAAAUAUUGGAUAAUUUUUCUACCAGAAAUAGAUUGGUUAUUAUAUCCUGAAAAACUACCAGAAAUUGAUAUUUUUGUUUCUUUCAAUUGGUUUAUUUGCUAUGAUAGAUAAAAAUCCAAAAUCCAUCAAUUAUAUGUCUCGUUUGCAGUUUUUACCUUCUGGUAAAAAUUUUAUGAAUAAUCAGAUGGAUUGGAAAAAAUCACGAAUUUAGGUGGUUAGUAUGAAUUAGUAAUACUGGCCUUUCAUUAACUAUUGAUGAAAAUUAUGUGUAUUGAAUUGCUGACGGGCAACUCAAUACACAGAGAUGACUGUCAUUUCUGACGGUCACACUCGGUUAAUGCUAUAACCGAUCGGCAGUGAGUAACAACCAUUUGUCAUAAAAUUGAAGCUCAUCAUGCAAAUUCUGCUUCAUCUAAAAAGGAAACUGAAGUUUUGCAGGUCUUCGCUUCAUCAAACAUUUGUCAUUCAUUAAACCAAGAUUAAAAGUUGUCUUUGAUCUGACAAUCUUAAUUAUCAUCUUUAACAGUGUUAUAGAAGGUGUCCAAUAUCCUUAAAAGUAUUAGAAUAAAUACUUUUAUGAAGAACAAUAUUUAUAGUCCUGUUAGAAGAAUUCAUUAAAUUAAUUUUCCUUUUGAAAAUGUUGCAGUUUUAUAGAUUGUAAUUAAGAUUUUAAACAAAGCAUAUUUUUUUGUAAUUAAGGCUUGUAUGUCAUUUUAAAAGUCUAAAUUGUCCCUUUUUAAUCUUUAAUCUACCAUGCAUUGGUACUAAGGUAAAUGAAGUUUUCUGUGACAUUGGACUUUAAGAGCUACCUGCUCUGGAUGUGAUCCUGUAUUUAAUGAGGCUUCUGAUAAACCAGGCCCGGAACCAUACAUUGUUCAUUCUUUAAUGGACAUUUAUGAAUAGUGCAUUCAUGAGAAAGGAACAAUCAUUCUUAGAAAUUUUUAAAAAGUGGAAAAUUAUGGAAAAUCAAUGGUUUGGAAAACUAUUUAUGUAAAGAUAACCAUAAUGUCCACACUUACUUCAAAACUAAUAUAUAUCAAUAUAUUCAGUACACCUCAUAGCUUUUUGCAAAUAUGUGAACUUAACAAUAUCAUAAUAGACGUUUACUUUUCUACAUUGGCUAGAGGUAUAGGGGAGGGUGGAGAUCUCAUAAACAUGUUUAACCACGCCAAUUUUGCACCUGUCCCACGUCAGGAGCCUCUGGCCUUUGAUAGUCUUGUAUGAUUUUUAAUUUUAGUUUCUUGUGUAUAAUUCAGUUUAGUAUGACGUCCUAUACUGUACCAGUUACAUAUUUUUUAAGGGCCAGUUGAAGACACAUACGGGUGCGGGAAUUCUCGCUACAUUGAAGACCAUUGGUGGCCUUCAUGUUGUCUGCUCUAUGUCGGUCGUGUCGCUUUGACACAUUCACCAUUUCCUUUCUCAAUUUUAUGUUAAUCAGUGGCGGAUCAAGAACUUUGCCUAUGGGGGGAGGGGGGACCACAACUGUCAUGCUUCAGUGAUUUCCUAUUCCCAAAUAGUUCACACAAAAGGGGGGCUGGGUCAUAAUUAAGAAAAUUAAGUUUUUGAUUUUUUGAAUUCAAUCCUAUUCUAUCUGCUUUGCUUGAAAUUUUUCAGUGCAUUGGGGGGACAUUUGUACUGAUUAUUUUCUAGGUGAAAUGGCUUAAAAUGCAAAUGAAACAUUUGAUUGUAAAGUGGUUAAAAUAGCAAUAUAGACCACCUAAUGUCUGAAUACAUUGAGGUCAGAUUAUUUAUACUUUCAGGUACAUGUUAAAUGCUUUGUAAUAUUAUUCAAUCUUUUUACACCCAUGGAUAAUAAAAGUCUGGUGAUUAGCCCAUUAAACUGACUUUCUAUUGCCUAUAGAUUAAGGAUGCACAAAGAUUUAUAAUCUGAUAAAAGUGCUACUGUAACAUAUUCUUGCCAACAAACAAGACUUACUUCCAUAGAAAUUCAAUUAUUUCAAAAAAGCGGUAGCUUCAUAAUUUAAUUUCCAAUGCACAAAAAAUUGAAAUUAUCAUGUUCAUCUAUUCUAUUUAGUAAUGUCAGAUACGGUGAAAUGGAUCAUACUGUAAACCAAUUUUGUUUUCUCGUUAGAAGGUGAAUUGUUUAUUCGACAAUUUGAAUCAGAAUUUUCUAUGUUGAAUUUUGGUUUAUAUGUCCCAAUUUGAGGAGCCUGACAUUAGAUUUGAGAAGAGUAAGUGGAAGUUAUUCCAUCAUGGUGGAAAAAAAGGAUUGCAUCAGUUCUAUGAUUGUAUAUGACCUAUAUUAGCUAGGUGAUAUUUAUAGUCAAUAUUUCACCUGUUACUUUGCUAUAAGCAUCUAUAAAAUAUAGAUAUUAAUCCUGUCUUACAUGCUUACUUUUGUUAUAUGAGAUAAUUAUAUUAAUAUAGUAUAAUCCACCCUCAAUUAUGAUUAUAUUACAGAAAAGACUUAGUUCUUAAAAAUGUAAACAUAGAGUUAAACAGUAUAAAUGCUUUAGAUCCAACCUAUUAGAACUUGUGUAGAUCUAUAUAUAUUAACGCUUGCAAUGUUAAACCUAAAUUGUCUUCCUCAGGUCACAAUGCUAUGGACAGUUCACCAAUCAAAUUUAAUUACUACGUAUUAGAACAAUAAGUAUAACUUUUGUUUUAUAUAUAAAGUCUAGGAUAUAUUUUUUAAUACCAAUUUGGUUAUCCUGCUCCAACCUUUUUCCAUUAAACGUAAGAAGUCAUAUUGACUCACUAGUUUAUUUUUUGUUGCUAUCUCAUUUGACCUUAACCUCACAUCCACAUUUAUGAAACCUUUUUAGCUCACCUGGCCCGAAGGGCCAAGUGAGCUUUUCUCAUCACUUGGCGUCCGGCGUCCGUCGUCGUUAACUUUUACAAAAAUCUUCUCCUCUGAAACUACUGGGCCAAAUCAAACCAAACUUGGCCACAAUCAUCAUUGAGUUAUCUAGUUUAAAAAAUGUGUGGCGUGACCCGGUCAACCAACCAAGAUGGCCGCCACGGCUAAAAAUAGAACAUAGGGGUAAAAUGCAGUUUUUGGCUUAUAACUCAAAAACCAAAGCAUUUAGAGCAAAUCUGACAAAGGGUAAAAAUGUUUAUCAGGUCAAGAUCUAUCUGCCCAGAAAUUUUCAGAUGAAUCGGUCAAUCGGUUGUUGGGUUGCUGCCCCUGAAUUGGUAAUUUUGAAGAAAUUUUGCUGUUUUUGGUUAUUAUCUUGAAUAUUAUUAUAGAUAGAGAUAAACUGUAAACAGCAAUAAUGUUCAGCAAAGUAAGAUCUACAAAUAAGUCAACAUGACCAAAAUGGUCAGUUGACCCGUUUAGGAGUUAUUGCCCUUUAUAGUCAAUUUUUAACCAUUUUUCGUAAAUUAAAGUAAUCUUUUACAAAAAUCUUCUCCUCUGAAACUACUUGGCCAAAUUAAUCCAAACUUGGCCACAAUCAUCUUUGGGGUAUCUAGUUUAAAAAUGUUGUGGCUGACCUGGUCAACCAACCAGAUGGCCGCACCGCUAAAAUAGAACAUAGGGGUAAAAUGCAGUUUUUGGCUUAUAACUCAAAAACCAAAGCAUUUUGAGGAAAUCUGACAGGGGAUAAAAAUGUUUAUCAGGUCAAGAACUAUCUGCCCUUAAAUUUUCAGAUGAAUCGGUCAAUCGGUUGUUGGGUUGCUGCCCCUGAAUUGGUAAUUUUGAAGAAAUUUUGCUGUUUUUGGUUAUUAUCUUGAAUAUUAUUAUAGUUAGAGAUAAAACUGUAAACAGCAAUAAUGUUCAGCAAAGUAAGAUCUACAAAUAAGUCAACAUGACUAAUGGUCAAUUGACCUUAAGGAGUUAUUGCCCUUUAUAGUCAAUUUUUAACAAUUUUCAUUAAUUGGUAAAUUAUGUAAAUUUUUACCAAAUAUAGUUCUCUGUUACUAAUGGGCAAAGUUCAUGAUAGAUAUAAUUGUAAGAAGCAAAAUCGUUCAGUAAAGUAAGAACUUCAAACACAUCACCAUCACAAAAUACAAUUUGUCAUGAAUCCAUUUGUGUCCUUUGUUUAAUAUGCACAUAGACCAAGGUGAGCGACACAGGGUCUUUAGAGCCUCUAGUUUAAUGUAAAAAUAAUACGUUUUUGGUCCUCAUUUUCUCUUCAGUGUGAAAAAUGAAGUUAAUUGAAAAUGUGGAAAUAUUUGAAAAUCUAAGGAUAUUUUUGAUAAGGCCUAAAAUGGCUGUGCUUAUUUUUUUCUUAAGUUGUAUAUGACAAUACCACCUGUGACAGUCUGUUUAUUAUCCCUGGUGUCUUACAUCAUAUGUCUUGUAACAGCAGCUGUUUAACCUGUCAAAUAAUAAAUGUAAUUAUUUAAAUUCUCCUUUGGGCUUCUGUAUAGAAAAGGUCCAUCCAUGCAUACAUUAUCCUGUAACUCUUUUGCAGUUAAAUCAAAAUAUACAUUGUAUAUAAGGUCCUAAUUUUAUACUUAAAUUUGAAAAAUAACACUAUUUUCUGAAUAAAUGUUUUGAAGUAACAGAUUUCCUGGUACAGAUGUUUCAGCCAGUAAAAAAAAAAGGUUCAAUUUGGUUAUUUCAUGACAAAACUAUUUUUUCUUUUAAAUGUUAACUGCAAAGUAGGACCUCAUUAAUUCCUUGACAGAUGAAAGUCAGGAGCUUAUCAUUGCAAAUAAGUAAUGGCAAGCAAGUCGUGACUACAUCAAAAAGUUGAAAACAAACAUUUGUUACACAACAUAUUUUUAUAUUUUACAGAUAGCAGUUAGUAAGAAAUUGAGAGCACCUUAGUUCACCAACACAGACAUACGGUCAAGGUCAUGAUUUUCAGGAACCCAGAUUUACAUCAAGCAUGCAGUGAAAAUCUAUUAUUAGUGGUUUAUUGAGAUAAUAGAAAUCUGCAAGACUAAGGUAAUUUCUAUAUAUCUGGCUGUAUAUAAUAAAUUAGUCAUUUUCUGCCCAGGAAUUCCAACAUAACAUUGUUGUAACUUAUAGUCUCAUAUAUCUUUGGUCUGGCUGAUCUGGCACACGACUAAGGGUUUUAGAUUUCACCAUCUUAACAAACUUGUAAUAUUUCACAAAACUUGGAAAGAUAAUCCAAUUCUUACAACCUUUGUUCUUUCUUGUGUAUUACAUGAUAUAUUGAUAAAAUAAUGAAAAAUUAAGAUACAUAAGCUAGAAAACCAUUCUUCGUAUGAAAUUUUAAUAAUUUUGACAUUGUUUCAUGUACUGUAUCUAAAGAGAUAAGAAAUAUUCCUUUUACUGCCGUUAUUUAGAUAAAUGGGGUGGUUUCAGUACCAGUUAAAAGUGACUUUAUACAAUUAAUGUUAUAAAGAAAACAUAAAUAUCAAUUUAUAAUGAGAUACCUUAGCUUUAAUGAGGAUAUGAACAUUUCUUUUUAACAUUAUUUGUGUAAUUAUUGGCACUUCAAUUGUUAGAGAGAUAAUUUUAUUUGAAUUAUAAAUUUAUCUUUGUGUCAGUUUGAUUCAUAUAACUCUUGUUUGUUUGAGUUUUGCCAAAAGCUUGAGCUGCUAGAUUUUGAUUUUGCAAAAGUAUGUUUCAGAUAUUUUUUGACAUAAAGUGGUACUUCUACUUCUUACACACUAAAGAAGCCAUCAACAUUUCUUCUAGUUGUAGGGAUAUUUCAAUUAUUGAGGGUUUUGCAAAUAUAGCUUACACUCGAGAGCUUACACAACUUGGAAAAAAUUCCAUUGUAAACUGGAAAUCAAAAUUAUAUUGUAUUCUGGUAAAUAGGAAAAAAGGUAAUAAUCAUAUUACAUCUUGGUGAAAACAUGUGUAUUAUUUAAAGAGGUAUAAGUGGACAAUUGUCAGUAGUGAAUCAGUUCAGCAGGUAUUGAUAACUUGUAUUAAAAAAAAGGAGAUGUGGUAUGAAUGCUAACUGAGACAACCCAUAGCCAGAAAUUAGUAGUGCUUUUGCUAAGUAAUAUUCAUAAUAUGUAAAUGAGAAUUGUACCACGUGAUUACAGUUUGAACUAGACUGGCUUGAUAUCCUUAAAAUCUUUAAAACACGGAUAUUAUAAGUUGCCCGUCCUUGUUUAUAAUCAUUCUGAUAUUUCCGUUAAGUUGCCAGGCGGUCAAAAUCAAUACAAUGAACGCAAAUUAAGUGAAUUUUUCGUGUUCUCAUGAGUUUAUUCUUCUUAAAAUAUUGGUAUUUUAACUUUACGUGGGAACCUAGAGUUCAAUGACUACACAUACAAGGUUUGGACUUGCUUAUUCUUUGGACAUCCAAGUUUCACCCCGGCAACUUGUUUUUCUUAUGACCUUGUUAGCCAAUUUUCAACACGAAGUUUGCAAAUUUGACGUUUCAGCCAUUUUAGCCUGUAUUUUAUACUGCAAUGUUAAAAGCCUCUCGCUUCGAUUUUCAAAAUAGCUCAGCGACAGUCAUAAUGUUUCGUUUAAAUGGUGUAUAUUGUUGUGUAUAUUUAUUUUCUGUCCCGGCAACCUGUCUAUCACUUAAAUUAAAGUUAAAAUAGACAUUUUUUCAAAAAUCCCUAUCAUUUCAAUAUAAUUUCCGUGACCCGUAUCUGAUUUUGUUAGUAUAAUAUUCAAUGAGCAAAGUGGCGUUGAUUUCUGGAUAUGCUUCCACAAGUUCAAAUGACAUGAAUGAAUGGUCCUUGUAAAAUAGCUGACUACUGGUAGUUAAAUUUCACAUGACAGCUUCACUAGAGAUUUAUAUACAUUGCAAUUUUGUUUACCAUUUUUCCAGCUUCAACCACAGAAUUAGGCCAUUACCCUGAGCACAUUUUCCUUAAUAAGAUUAAGGGAUUGCCUUGACAUCAUUAUCUUAAUUUUACUUAUGAUUUAUUUUAAUUGUUUCCUUCUUUUCACUAGACUUAUACUUUAUCUCAGUUUACCUCAGAUGUGAAAGGGUGAUUUUGUGGAAAUAUUUUAUUAGCAAUUAUUGUAGUAUAUAAGAACAGAUAUCAGCUAUUACGUCUUUAAUAAUUAGGAAAGUUGGGUGAUUUGUACCACCAUCUGGGAGCUGUUUUUACCACAAUCUGACUGCGAGGUUGUCCAAUAGUCUGUGGAGACUGCAAUGAUUCUCAUUCAGGAGAUAAUUACUAAAUAUCUUCCUUACACAAUCAUCUAACAAUACUCAUUUGUGUUGUAGUCUGCCUGGAAGAACAUUUUUAAAUUCUUAUCUUUCAGUUAAAAGGAUGUUAAAGUAGAGAAUAAAAGUGAUUUUAAGACCAACAAAUCAUUCUAUAUCAUAACUGUCUAUGCCUUCAACAAUGAGCAACCCUAUACAUUUGUGCUUUAUAUUGAAUAUGCUAUAUAAGGAGCCAGCUUGCUAAAUACAAAUCUAUUCUUGCAAGAAAACUAAAGCCUUGUACAUGGGGAAGUCACAUUAAUUUAUGUUGCUUUUAAAGGGCAAGCAUGUCUUGCUGAACUUGUAGCACUCAUCAGGUUACUCAUGUGACAAAUGUUGUAUGAUCUGGUGUGAAAUGCAAGAAUUGCAUGGAAGCUUUCAAUAAAAAUCAACAAAAAAGGUUUAAGUUGGAACCUCUAGGUAAUGCAACAUUGGGUAUAGCUCACUAGUAUUUAAAGGUUAUAUCAUCUACAGUCAGUAUGGCAUGCAUCAAAUAAUUCUUCACCUUCUUACAUUUUAAUCUGAAUCAUAAAUACAAUUUAAUAGACAAAUUAAUUGAGCAAGAUGAUACAUUAACAUUUAUAAAUAGAUAGCUAAUUGAUUGAGUCUGCUAAAUUUUGAGGUCAUGUGUACUUAACAUUGUAACCUUGACAUUAUACCUUUGCCAGAUUUUACAGUAGCCUUUUAUACCAGGUGUGGCAAUAAAAAAAAUCAAUCUGUAAGCAUUUUAGGGAAAGUUUUCUGUUCUUCUUUGAUAACAGAUUUCUUGGUGGUAUACUUGGCAAAGAAAUUACUUGUAGAUUAGAGAAGAAAUCAGUGUAAUUUUGACGGAUCAUUGGCAUCUCUAUCAGUUAGUACAAAAUAUAUUAAUAAUUGUGCUAUAUUCAUAAAAAUGUUAACUAUUGGCAUAUUUCCUGAUAAAUUAUCUAUUUUUUGUCUUCCAGGGUGAAGAGUUUUAGUGUCUUGUCAUUGACCUAAUCAAAUAAUCAUUACUUCUGAUAAGUGGCUGUGUUGCAGUAGCAGAAGAGAAUGAAAUGCCAGCAGACGUCAUACCGAAUCCUGAUCAAUCCUUGACAUUCAAAACUUUGAUGUCAUCAUUUGGUGAUCGACAAAACACAAAAUGAUCAACAAAGUAUAUUUGCGUCAAUGUUAUGUAGAAAUGGGGCAAUGAUUGCAAAGCUUCUGCACUCAUCAUUAUAUAAUGAAAUACUUUUUUGUAAUAAAUCUAUGUAACAGUUGUCAAAGUUUUAAAUCUGUUUAAGAUCACCUGCAAUGAUGAGCAAUUGAUUCCUUAUUUAGAUCUUAUUACAGUCUGGAGGGAAAGAAAAGUUUCAAUCAUUUGAUAUGCUUAUUACUGCAACAGUAGAUUGUACAAAAAAUCAACAAAAAUUAGUAACAGUUGGUUAAGUACAAAAGGUCUGAAUUAACAUGAAAAAGGCCUAAUAAGGCUGUCUCUUGGCUGGUGCAACAUACAAGGCAAGUAAUAUGUAAAUACUGUAUAACACUG
rnacentral:lncRNA from 1 species